rnacentral:lncRNA from 1 species
GAGACCGUUUCUUAUUUUGUGCCGAAGCAAUUUUUAAAUCACAGGCUGAAACAGGUGAAAUCAAAGGGCAUUACUUGAAUGCUACUGCAGGUACAUGUGAAGAAAUGAUCAAAAGGGCCAUGUGUGCUAGAGAAUUGGGAGUUCCUAUCGUAAUGCACGACUACUUAACAGGUGGGUUCACCGCAAAUACUAGCUUGGCUCAUUAUUGCCGAGAUAAUGGUCUACUUCUUCACAUCCAUCGCGCAAUGCACGCAGUUAUUGAUAGACAGAAGAAUCAUGGUAUGCACUUUCGUGUACUAGCUAAAGCUUUACGUAUGUCUGGUGGAGAUCAUAUUCACGCUGGUACAGUAGUAGGUAAACUUGAAGGAGAAAGGGACAUAACUUUGGGCUUUGUUGAUUUACUACGUGAUGAUUUUAUUGAAAAAGAUCGAAGCCGUGGUAUUUAUUUCACUCAAGAUUGGGUUUCUAUGCCAGGUGUUCUGCCCGUAGCUUCGGGGGGUAUUCACGUUUGGCAUAUGCCUGCUUUGACCGAGAUCUUUGGAGAUGAUUCCGUACUACAAUUCGGUGGAGGAACUUUAGGACACCCUUGGGGAAAUGCACCGGGUGCCGUAGCUAAUCGAGUAGCUUUAGAAGCAUGUGUACAAGCUCGUAAUGAGGGACGUGACCUUGCCCGCGAGGGUAAUGAAAUUAUCCGCGAGGCUAGCAAAUGGAGUCCUGAACUAGCUGCUGCUUGUGAAGUAUGGAAGGCGAUCAAAUUUGAAUUCGACGCAGUGGAUAAAUUAGAUAAACCAGCUUCAUAAAUCAAAUUUGAAUUCGAAGCAAUGGAUACUUUGUAAUCCAGUAAUUACUGUCGGUUUGUUGAAUUGCAAUUAAACUCGGCCCAAUCUUUUACUAAAAGGAUUGAGCCGAUUCUAUUGUCUAUAUUUUUGAUAGAUAUAUUUUUAUCUAGAUAUACAAGAUCUUAAAUACAAAAAUAAAAGACUAAACACAACUCAAAUUUUCUCCUGGGUCCAUAAUUAAUCCUAUGUAUGGAUCCUUAGGAUUGGUGUAUUCUUUUCUAUCCUAUAUACCACGGUUUCGGAUCAUGGAUCGAGCCAAGCAUCACAACUUCUUCUACCCAUCCUGUAUGUUGUCCUUUUGGCUCCGUGUUGGAAUAGAAACUUAUUGUAUUAGUAGACGAGAUUUUACGAAAAAGGUUCUUGAUAGGAGAAAAAUUUCUUUUUUCAAUUUUUUCAGUGCGGAUUUUACACAACAUGGGGAAAUCACUAUUUCUAAUUGAAAAUUGAUAUUUCUAAUUCAAAAGAAAAAAGAGCUCUAUCCUAUCAUAUAUAAUGAACUGCUACUCUAGGUUCUCACAAAAGAGAAUCGUUUCUUUCAAUAUUCACUCAUUGUUCGUUAAUAACCCUAGUGAUUGUAUCUAGUAUGCGUAUUCUGAUAGGAAAUAAAAUAUUCAAUUGAUUUUUCAUCGAAUGACUAUUCAUCUACUGUACUUUCAUGGAAAUAGAGGCAAGAAAGCUCUAUGGAAAAAUCAUGGUUCAAUUUGAUCUUGUCUAAGGGAGAAUUAGAAUACAGAUGUGGGCUAAGUAAAUCAAUGGAUAGCCGCCUUGGUCCUGUUGAAAAUACUACUGUAAACGAAGACCCGACUAGAAAUGAUACGGAUAAAAACAUUCAUGAUUGUAGUGACAGCUCUAGUUAUUACAGUAAGGUUGAUCAUUUAGUUGACGUCAAAGACAUUCGGAAUUUCAUUUCUGAUGACACCUUUUUAAUUAGGGAUAGUAAUCAGGACCGUUAUUCCAUAUAUUUUGAUAGUGAAAAUCAAAUUUUUGAGCUUAACAAUGAUCAUUCUUUUUUGAGUGAACUAGAAAGUUUUUUUUAUAGUUAUCAUAAUUCUAGUUAUAUGAAUAAUGGAUCGAAAAAUGAUGAGCCCCACUAUCAUUUUAACUUGUAUGAUAAUGAUACUAACUGUGGUUGGAAUAAUCACAUUAAUAGUUGUAUUGACUCUUAUCUUCGUUCUCAAAUCUGUAUUGAUAGUUCCAUUUUAAGUAGUAGUGACAAUUCCAAUGAUAAUUAUAUUUCUAAUUACAUUUGCGGCGAAGGUGGAAAUAGUAGUGAAGGCAAGAAUUUCGAUAUAAUAACUCGUGAAAAUGGUAAUGAUUUAACUCUAAAAGAAAGUUCUAAUGAUCUCGAUCUAUACAAGGAUUUGUGGGUUCAAUGCGAAUGCGAAAAUUGUUAUGGAGUAAAUUAUAAGAAAUCGCUUAAUUCAAAAAUGAAUAUUUGUGAACAAUGUGGAUAUCAUUUGAAAAUGAGGAGUUCAGAUAGAAUCGAACUUUCGAUUGAUCCAGGCACUUGGGGUCCUAUGGAUGAAGACAUGAUCUCUCUGGAUCCCAUUGAAUUUCAGUCUGAAGAAGAGCUUUAUAAAGAUCGUAUUGACUUUUAUCAAAGAAAGACAGGAUUAACUGAGGCUAUUCAAACAGGCACGGGUCAACUAAACGGUAUUCCUAUAGCAAUCGGGGUUAUGGAUUUUCAGUUUAUGGGGGGGAGUAUGGGAUCCGUAGUAGGCGAGAAAAUCACCCGUUUGAUCGAAUAUGCUACCAAUAAUUUUUUACCUCUUAUUCUAGUGUGUGCUUCCGGAGGAGCACGCAUGCAAGAAGGAAGUUUGAGCUUGAUGCAAAUGGCUAAAAUAUCUUCCGCUUUAUAUGAUUAUCAAUCAAAUAAAAAGUUAUUUUAUGUAUCAAUUCUUACAUCUCCUACUACUGGUGGAGUGACUGCGAGUUUUGGUAUGUUGGGGGAUAUCAUUAUUGCUGAACCCAAUGCCUAUAUUGCAUUUGCGGGUAAAAGAGUAAUUGAGCAAACAUUGAAUAAAACAAUACCGGAAGGUUCACAGGCGGCUGAAUAUUUAUUCCAUAAGGGUUUAUUCGAUCCAAUCGUACCACUGUAAUCCUUUAAAAGGUGUUCUGAGUGAGUUAGUUCAGCUCACGGUUUUUUUCCUUUGAAUCAAAAUUCAAUCAAGUAGAGUCUUAAGUGAAAUUUUUUUAUUUGUAGUGAAAAGGUAGUUAGUUAGUUUAUCAGAAUCAAAGUCAAAGCCCAUUACGCGGGCUUUGACUUUGUGACAAAAAAAGGAAUUGUCGAAAAACAAAUUAUGUGGAUAAUUAUUAUUAUCAUUAUCCGAUAUGACUAAUGAGUAAACCUCUAGCAACAAGAUAAAAAGUGAAUUUUUCCUUCUGUGAAAUGAAAUAGAUUGGAGAGACAAAUAAAACGAAUUUUAUCCUCCUCUAUUGCGUAUGUAUAUAGAAUUUAAAUAGAGAAAAAAUAGAAUAGAAAUAUAGAGUUUUGCAUCUUUCUAUAUCUCCCGAAAAUUCUAUUUUUACUAAUAAUCCCUGUUCUUGGAUCGGAUUCUAACGAAUCGAAUCUUUCGACAAUUUGUAAUAAACUCUUUCUUUAGUAAAUUCAAAAAUGCAAAUUAGAAGACAAGAACAAUAGAAUAAUAAGAAAAGUAAGAAUAAAGUAAGAUAAUAAAGAAAGUGGAUUAUCUUAUCAUAUACACCUAUUUUAUUUGAUUUAAAAAGAUGGGCAAGUCCUUUUAUUUAAUUCUACAUUCCUUGCACUUAUUAGAUAUCUAUUAGAUAUAUAGACUCGCUUAGAUAUACUUAGUAUUUAGAUAUAAUUAGUAUAAUAUACGAAUUAUAAUAUAAUCGUUAUAAGAUAUAUUUCUAACUAAACAAUAUAACAAUAACAGGUACAAAUAUUAAAUUGAGGUACCCAUUUUAUGACAAGUUUCAGCAGUUUUCCCUCUAUUUUUAUGCCUUUAGUAGGCCUAGUAUUUCCGGCAAUUGCAAUGGCUUCUUUAUCUUUGUAUGUUCAAAAAACUAAGAUUUUUUAGAUUCAAUGGGGCCAAGACCAAAUCUUAUCUAUUUUUUUUCAAGACUUAGAUGUCAUGGAUACCUAUUUAGUAAAAUAUUGUAGAACAUCCGGCUUACCCGAACCGAACAUAAAUGAAAAAGCCCCUCUUAUGCAUACGUAAACAUGGUAUAGGGUUAAAUGAAUUAUAGCAAGUGGAUCGGUACCGAACGGAUGUAUGAAAUUAAAGUCUAUAUAUCUAGUAGAUCCGUAUAGGCGAUCAUAUAAAGGGGAUGAUUUUAGAUCGAAGCAAUUUGAUGAAUUCCUUCUAAAAGUUCAUAUCAAAAUAGUCCUAGUUGAUGAGAGUUACUUCGGAAACAAAAAAAGUAAAGUCGAAUUUUUUUGGUUAUUCUCUCAAUUCGAAUAAAAUGCAACUGGAUCUAGUAUGUAUGAGUUGGCGAUCAGAAUCCUAUAUGGAUAGAAUUUAUAGUGGGAUCUCGAAAAACAAGCAAUUUCUGCUGGGCCUUUAUCCUUUUUUUUGGUUCAUUAGGGUUUUUAUUAGUUGGAACUUCUAGUUAUCUUGGUAGGAAUUUGAUAUCUUUAUUUCCGUCUCAGCAAAUAGUUUUUUUUCCACAAGGAAUCGUGAUGUCUUUCUAUGGGAUCGCAGGCCUCUUUAUUAGUUCCUAUUUGUGGUGCACAAUUUUUUGGAAUGUAGGCAGUGGUUAUGAUCGAUUCGAUAGAAAGGAGGGAAUAGUAUGUAUUUUUCGUUGGGGUUUUCCUGGAAAAAAUCGUCGCAUCUUUCUACGAUUCCUUAUGAAAGAUAUUCAGUCCAUCAGAAUAGAAGUUAAAGAGGGUAUUUAUGCUCGUCGUGUCCUUUAUAUGGAAAUCAGAGGCCAGGGGGCCGUUCCCUUGACUCGUACUGAUGAGAAUUUGACUCCGCGCGAAAUUGAACAAAAAGCUGCUGAAUUGGCCUAUUUUUUGCGUGUAUCGAUUGAAGUCUUUUGAAAUGAAUUGCAAAAUAAAAGCUUUCUCGCCGGGAGGAAAAAGCUCAAUCCAAGAAUCCUCUUUUUUCUAUAGCAGAACUAAACUGAAGUUUCUUCAGAAUGCCCAUUCAAACCAAAGCGGACGUAUACGGAAGAGUCAUAACAUAAAAAAACGGUUUUUUUUGUCUACAAAAAUCGUUUUUUAUGCGUCUGUAAAUGUAAAACCGCUCAACUUAAUUCAGUAACAAAAUAAGCAAGAAAUCGAAAUACUGGAUUCAUCUCAUAUAUCAAAGUAUUUCGAAAUAAAGACUUUCGCUUUUUAUUUGCAAUAUUUGGAGUUGAUACGUGAGAUACAGAUAGAUCAUAUCUUGUAAAUUUUCUCUACUUUUCUUUUCUCAAUCGGCCCCUCCCCUUUUAUCCUUUCUUUUGUGCUCCUUAAGAACUGAAGAACUAAACAAGUGGAUUUCUUUCUUAUAACAUAAUGAUAAACGUAAUGAUACCUUUUCUGUCUUUUUUUGUCACUCAUUUUUGAUCAGCAUAAUAUUUUUUCUAAUUUUUUUUUCAAUUAUUGCUGGACUCUAGACUAUAUAGUUUAGAUAACCUGCGAAAAUUUUCGACAUAUUUGAUUGCGAUCUUGAUAUAGACAGGGCGCUCCUUCGUCUCAAAAUCUGAAUAGAACAAUCUUUCUUAUUUGAAGCUAGUCUCUUCUUUGAUCUGAAUUUCCACUUCAUGGCGGAACAAUCUUACUUGUUACUUUAUCAAUUUGCUUCUAGAAGAGAUAUGUAACUCAUGAGUAAUGAUAUUAUCAACCAACCCAGGUAUUUCAUCAUAGGUCUAAGCAGACACAUCUCUAUACUCCUUCAAAAGUCGAAUUAAUAAAUUCCUUCAUUCUUCGAUAAGGUUCUUACAUAUGAACAAAGGUCUAGUUGCUCUUCCAUCCCCCGAAAUAUCUAUCUCCUCUAUCUCAUCACCUUAGGGCUUUAGCUGUUCUUGCAAUUGAUUUGGUGCUUGGACUACCUCUUGAAUCCCUUCUAACUCUACUUGGAAGCAAGAUGAUUGUCCAUCAGGUGGUUCCCCGAGUAUAGAUAAUACACAGGCUUUUCAUCACUUCCGGUGUAUGAGCUAACUCCGGAUCCGUCACUUCCUCCUUCACAUCAUUACUUAUACUUGGAUUCCAUUGCUUCCUUUUUCUUCCUUGAUGCUUCUUUCUUCUUUUAUGUUCCAAUUUUGGUAGUAGAACCUCGAUAGGUUAUUUAAAAAAAAAACACAAACAGCCUGUGCAUAUUAAUUUCAUUGCGCUCAAAAGGUGCCUCAGUAGUAAGGAUGAAAAUUAUAUUUGCUUCCAAUAUCUAUUUAUGCAUUGGUGGCGAGAAGAUGGAAUUUCUCCUAAUAAAAAUAUGAUAUGCCACAUCGGCAUCAAUAACAUGAAAGCAAAAACGUGUCGUUUCCCAACAUAGAAACAGUGUGUUAGUAACAAAAAAACACAAACAAGUACUUACAAAAUUCUUGUGUACAAAACCACAACUAUACGAUGCUAAACUCACAAACAGCAAUCGUGCCAAAGGAAAGAAAGACGUGGUUCUGCAAAGUUUGAUGAUCUCAUGACUGCAGUAGUAAAAUUAUCAAUAUGGAUUUUGCAAAAUCUGAGUUUAUUAAUUAAGAGGAUCUUCGGUUCGUCAUCGCUUGCACUUUCAAAAGCAACCCUGAAAAAAUAAAUAAAAAGAGAAUCUUUACUGGUAUUUGCCAUAUUUGUAUAAAAUGGUGAGGAUGGAUGGGGAGGCAGUGGGUGUUGGGUGGAGCAUAGCGGCAGCAGUCACGUGAAAGCUUCGGCUGUUCGGUCCCCACGUAGAGAUCCUCCCCAUCUAAAACCCCAGCCCUUCCUCUCUCUUCCACACAUGUCUUCCCACCCCCUCGCACGUUAUUGUCCACGUGUGUUCCCUUUCCGUCCCACUCUUACGCCACCCUUUUUUAGCCUAUAAUAAUAUGAAUUUAAUUGAGAACCUUUAUAUAUACAUAUCAAGCCUUUUUCCUUAAAAUUCCUCGUUUGGCUUGAGAGAGAACCCACCAUUUUUGUUUCUAAAAAAGAAAUGAGAGGAAUCUGUGUCUGUCUGUGCAUGUUAGAUGUUUACGUAGUAAAUCUUUAAGUGUUAGCUGGGUUUACGUUAACCUUAUCUUUUAACACCUUGUUUUCUGCACUCUUUCUUCUUUAUUAUAUAUUUAUUCAUUUCAUUGUUCCAAAGAAACCAUUUCUUGCAGCACCGAAAACCAAGCAUUGCUUCUUUUCUUCUUUUGAUAUGGCAACUAUGCUUCUUUUAACCUUCCUUAUUUCUAGUUUAAUUAUGGUUACUGUGGGAUUGGCCAUCGACUCCAUGGAGAUUCUUCGCCUGGGUAUUGAUGGUCAACUCAGCGUCGACCCCAGCGACGUCGAAACGGCUUCUCUCGAUUUUGGUUUGCUCACCCGAGGUCAACCGCUGGCUGUAUUGCAUCCAGUUUCGGCUCAGGACAUAUCUCAAGUCGUUAAAGCAGUCUACGGGUCAAACCAGGGGAUGACGGUGUCAGCUAGAGGACAUGGGCAUUCCAUAAACGGACAGGCUCAGACCACAAACGGUGUAGUGAUUCAGAUGAGUGGGUGGAAAGGGGGGAAUAAGCCACCUCGGCCUCGUGUUUGGGCUGAAGAGAGAUACGUGGACGUUUGGGGUGGGGAGCUUUGGAUAGAUGUGUUGAAGAGUACCUUAGAGUAUGGACUGGCACCCAAAUCAUGGACCGAUUACUUGUACCUCUCUGUUGGUGGGACUCUGUCAAAUGCUGGAAUCAGUGGCCAAGCUUUCAAUCAUGGUCCACAAAUUAGCAAUGUUUACGAGCUUGACGUCGUUACAGGUCAAGUUCUUCCAUCUUUUUCAAGCAUCAGUAUAUUAUUAUUGUUGUUGCAUUAGAAUGAAUGGGAUUUGGUGAACAGGAAAAGGUGAGGUGUUGACAUGCUCGGAAGAUGAAAACACAGAGCUGUUUCAUGCUGUCCUUGGCGGUUUAGGACAAUUUGGCAUUAUCACCAGAGCUAGAAUUUCCCUUGAGCCGGCUCCAAAGAUGGUACCUACCACUCACUCUGUUUUUCAUCCACCAGAGCAGCCUUUAACUUGCGUCUGUCUAAUGUGGUGUAGGUGAGAUGGAUAAGAGUACUGUAUUCCAAUUUCUCGGCUUUUACCAGCGACCAAGAGCAUCUUAUAUCGCUACAUGCAGAGCCAAGUAACCAAAAAUUCGACUACGUUGAAGGUUUCGUAAUUGUAGAUGAAGGGCUCAUCAACAAUUGGAGAUCAUCUUUGCUUUCCCCUCAAAACCCUGUUAAAAUCUCCACUCUUUUUCCCAGUGGUGGUGUCUUGUAUUGCUUGGAAAUCGCCAAGAACUACCAUGAAUCUACUGUUCAAACCAUUGACCAGGUAUAUUAUAUAUCCAUUUAUUGCUUUGAGUACUAGGUAGCCUAAUCCUCUCAAUUCUGUCGUCAAUGAUGCUGAUUAGUGCAUUAGCUAUUAUUAAUUACAACAAUACUAAGUAUCAACUCAACCUUAAUUAAUCAUAUUCGAUGAAAAACAAAAACCUUAAUUAAUUAUUACUUAAUUCAUAGCUUGUGAAAGUAGAUAAAAUUAAAAAAAAGAGAGUAUAUAUAUAGUACUAAUCAACAAGGAUAUAUUAUAUGGAGUUUACUCUAAUAUAUUAUAUAAUGAAAUGAAACUCCUAUACUAACAGUUGGAUUACAUUUUUGCUCUUUUUAUUUAAAAAAUAGGUUAACUAAUCUUUGUACAUUAAAUUGAAGAGUAAAUUGGUUAUUUUUAUUAAAAGUUUCAUCCACUUAUACAGUUAAAAACUAACGUAAUUAAAGGAAUAACCAAACAACGACAUGUGAUGUGCCACAUGUAUCUGAUGCUGAUGUGCAAUAACCAACUUUUAGCAACAGAAAUGGAUAAAGUAAAUAAUAAAUAUAGUUAAAAAAGUUGAAUGCAAACAUAUGCAAGAAAACAGGGAAAAUCUAUUAUGGUCAUAAAAUCCUAAAGGAAGACUACUUUAUAAUUAUAUUAUUAAAUCUAAGCCGGCCAUGAUUGCAUCACCAAAUUGUUCACUAUUAAUUAAUCUUCUCUUCCAAUUAAAAUAUAUGGUUAGAAUCGAAGUUAUACGGACAAAACAAUUGUUUGGUCAGAUUGAUGAUAGGUUUUUUUUUAUACGCAGGAAGUAGAGUUUCUGUUGAAGAAAUUAAAUUUUAUAUCGACAUCAGUGUUUACGACUGACCUGUUGUAUGUGGAUUUCUUGGACCGGGUUCACAAGGCUGAGUUGAAGCUCCGGUCCAAGGGUUUGUGGGAGGUCCCUCAUCCAUGGCUAAACCUUUUUAUACCCAGCUCAAAGAUUGCUGAGUUCGAUAAGGGAGUCUUCAAGGGCAUUUUGGGGAAUAAAACAAGUGGCCCAAUUCUCAUCUAUCCAAUGAACAAGAACAAGUAUAUAUGCCCUUUUUACACCAACCAUUCAUUCCAUGCCCAUGCCUGAAACAUGCAAAUGUUAUCUUCUCAUGCCCCCAUGCAUGCAUGCUAAUUGUUGUGUUCAUGCAUUGCAUAUACAUAUUAAUGCAUACGUACUUCAUCAUCACGUAAUCACCCUCCUGAACCCCGGGUCCUUUUGAUUCCUUCAAAACCAUCAAUCUCAACUGCCAUUUCCAUUCCACAGAACAUGACAUGUUUUUUUUAGCAUGCAAAAAAUACUUUACCGCAUUUGGGCUGAUAUGGUGCAGAUGGGACCAUAGGAGCUCCGUGGUGACACCGGAUGAGGGUGUGUUUUACCUGGUGGCAUUGCUAAGGUCAGCCUUGGAUAAUGGGGAGGAAACCCAGAGCUUAGAGUACCUGAACAACCAGAACCGUCAGAUUCUGAGAUACUGUGAUGAAGCUGGGAUCAAGGUGAAGCGAUAUUUACCUCAUUACACUACGCAACAGGAGUGGAUGGACCACUUUGGCAAUAAGUGGGAUCGGUUCUAUGAAAUGAAAAUGGAAUUUGACCCGAGGCACAUUUUGGCCUCAGGCCAACGGAUUUUCACACCCACCUUCCCUUCGUCAUCCAACAUGCCUUCAUGACAAUGAUUCAAUGAUAUAAAACAAAUCAUCAAAACGGGCAUUAGCAAGCAUACGGUUUCUCUUGUACAUAAAAAUCAUAAACAUUUAUAACAACAUUGGGAACACUCCUAAGAAUUAACUUGGUAAAAAUUUUCGUAAUAUCUAAAUCGAAUCUACUUAAUAGCCACACAGGUACACCUGCCAAAGGAAUCUUAGAUCAAGCUUUUAUAAGAUGUAUAAAUUUGUAUGUUAAUAAACUUAAAUUACCAUAGAGUGAUAUACUCAAUAUUUUCGAUCCACGUGUAAAUCACAAAGGUUUAAAUCUCGAAGGGGUCACAAACGAUCUCGCUUAAAACCAAACUUUCAAUAUAGAAUCUCCGUAUAGUGUAAUUUAAUAGCACAAUAUAUCACUAUAAUUGUACCCUACAAAAUAUUGAAAGAUGAAUAAAAACAAUAAAGAACACUAGAAAUUUAACGAGGUUCGGUAAAUUAUGCCUACGUCCUCGAACACUACCAAAUAUAUUUCCCUACAAAAGAUAUAAAUGAAAAAUUACAAAUUAGAAGAGGGAAAAUUUGCCUUAUGAAGAAAAUGACAAAUUUUGGGAUGAUUUACAAACACUCCACAACCUUGUAUUUUUUAGAUGUGGGAUUGUGCUAUUUCAACAAAUCUUCACCUUAGCAAAUUUUCAUAUCUUCAAUAUCCUUGCACAACAACAUUUGAUAGUGUCUUCAAAUUUUAGCCUUCAAAUUUUAACAUUGAUCAAGUCCAAACAUAGUUGGAACUUGACCGUAGUCACAACCUUAGUUAUCAUAUCGACAGGACUCUCAGUAGUUGAAAUUUUCUAGAUCUUUACUCCACUAUCUUCUAGAACCUCUCGUACAAAAUGAUAUUGGACAUUAAUGUGCUUCGUCCUUGCAUGAUUAACUUGAUUUUUGCUAAUUGAAUAGCACUUUGACUAUCAAAAUGUACUUUGACAUAUUUCUCCUUAAUUUCCAAUUCACCAAGCAACCCUUGAAGCUAAAUUGCCUCUUUUACAACCUCUGCGAUUGUCAUAUACUUCACUUCUAUAGAAGAUAAAGCAAUUGUUGACUGUAAAGUAGACUUCCAAUUAACUGGUGUCUUUGUUAAGGUAAACACAUAACUAGUAGUUGAUCGUCGUUUGUCUAGAUCACCAACAUAGUUUGAAUCACAAUAUCUAACCACACACUGAUUAUCUUCCUACUCAAAAAUCAAUCCAAUAUCCAUUUUAUUCUGGAUAUAUCGCAAAAUCUAUUUCACAGCUUGCCAACACUCCUAUAACAACCUAUUUUUUAGUGGUGUCAAAAAUAGUGGUUUUGGGACCACAAUUUCAAUCACUGAGUCAAUAAAUAUUAUUAUUUAAUAUUUACAAGUCUAAUAGAGUGUCGUAUUAAAGUUUGGUUCAGUGAUUUUGAUGUUUGGUUGGUUAAUUAGGUAAAAAGGACUAAAUCGUAAAAAUUGAAAAAGUUAAUUACUAUUAAAUUAAAAGGGCUAGAUGACUAAAUAAACAAGAUUGGAUGGCUUUAUAUGGUAAUUAAACCAUAAGAAAUAAUAAUGUAUGGUUAGGGGCUAAUGGUUAAUGAAAUUAAAAGUUUAGUUUAAGGAUAGCUUGAUAAUUAGGCAAAUGUUUUAACAUAAACAAAACUAAAAUUAUCAACUUCUUCAUCCUAUCAUCUUUGGACUGAAAAAUCAUUUAAAUAAAGCUUGGGAGUGUUCAUUUCAAUUUCUUCCUUGCAUGUAAGUCAAAUUUGAUUUCGUUUUUAGUAAAUUUUAUAUUUUGUGAUCGUUGUAGCUUAAUCUAGUUAACCCGAGGAUUAUUUCGUAAAAUUUUUAAAGGUUUUGGGACGUUCUGUAAUGGCCCAAAUUUGAGGUUAUCGGAACAGUGGUUUCGGAACCACAAAUCCGAUGAGAAAAAUUUUAUUUUUCUUAUAUUUUAUGGUCUACAAUUUCACAAAAUGAUUUUUUGAAAAUUUCGUUCGAAAAUUUCGACGUUUGGGCACUCAAUUUAGUCAAAAGGACUAAAUUGUAAAAAGUGUAAAAGUUGAGUUCUACAUGUUAGAGGUGUCCAAUUGUUAUGAAACUUUAAAUUGGAGGUCCUUAUAUGGUAAUUAUACCAUUGGUAACUUGGUAGACAAAAAUGGACAUGAGAUAAGUGAAAUAGAAAAUUUUUAAGUUAGGGGCAAUUUGGUAAUCUAGUAAUUAAAAUGAAUUAAAAGGGAAAAAGAUGGCAAAAAUCAUCAUCUUCUUCAUAUGAACGAAAUCAGCAAGGGGGGAAGCCAUAGUUAGGGUUUUCAAGCUUCCAAGCUCCAUAGUAAGUGAUCCCAAGCCCCGUUUUUAAUGUUCUUUACGUUUUUGAGAUCCCGGUAGCUUAAUUUAGCUUAUUCUAGCAAUAAUUUAACCUAGGGUUUAUAUUUGAAAAAAUACCCAUAGGUGAAAAGUGUUUAUUUUGAUGUUUUAUGAUAGAAUAUGAAGCUAGAAAUUAUGUUAAACAACUUUUGCUAAGCGAUUUUAAGUGAAAACGAGUAAAACGACAUAAUCGGUAAAAAUACCUAAUGUUCAUAAGUACAUGUUAGAGUGGGAAUUUGAUGUUGCCAUAGAAGGGAAAAAUGUUCAGAAUGUUAUAAAACAUAAUAAUAAGAGAUGAAGUUUAAUUUCCGAGCCUUGGGGAAAAAUGUAAUUAUGUAAAAGUUUAGGGGCAAAAUUGUAAUUUUGAAAAAGUUAGAGCCGAGGGCUGUUUUGAUGAAUGUGAUUAUUAAAUAAGUUAAAUUUACUAUUUUAGAUCAAGAAGUACGAAACUCGAGGUUAGACAAAGGGAAGAAUAAAGUUGAAGACUAAGUUGGUGAAUUUGGCUAUAAUUGGUACCGAGGUAAGUUUACGGUAAAUAAAUGCAAUAUUUCAAUAUUUAUUAUUAAUGCUGUUAAUUUCCAGCAAUUAUGAAUUUAUUUUAUGAAUUUAUUUGAUGAUGAUCCAAGCAUGAAAUGAUAGAGAAUUAAAAUUUAAAAGUCCCGUUGAUACAUAAGGAUGGUACUGGAUACGAAUGUCAUGACAUUUGGGUAAAGAGAUCCCAUGUAAGACCAUGUCUGGGAUAUGGCAUUGGCAUCCUUAAGAUCAUGAGAGGUCCCCUGUAAGACCAUGUCUGGGACAUGGCAUGGGCAUCGAGACGAGAGGUCCCAUGUAAGACCAUGUCUGGGACAUGGCGUUGGCACCGAGAUGAGGGGUCCCCUAUAAGACCAUGUCUGGGACAUGGCAUGGGCACCAUCACGAGAACAUCCCAUGUAAGACCAUGUCUGGGACAUGGCUUUGGCAUGUUAUUAUCAGAAGAGACCCGAGUAUCCUUAUUAUUCCAAUGUAGCUCAACGGGCUUGUAAACGAAUCAUGUUCAUGAAAGUUCAGUUUAAAGCAUAAAUGGCAAGCUCAGGUAAGUUGUAAGACUUAAGAACUUAUUAUACUAUCAAUUGAUGUUCAACGAUGCAGCAAGGAUUGAGUAAGUUAUGCACACAAGUAUUCUAAGUAAACAAGUAAGAGAACUAGUAUGAGAUUAACUAAAGAGUAAACUAGAGAUAUAGACAUUGAGUUUAAUUAUUUAAGUUAAAUAUUGUUAUUUAUUUGCUAGUAAACUUACUAAGCUUUAUGCUUACUUCUUUUAUUUCUCUUUCUCUUAUAGUAUUGCAAAGCUACUUCAAGGAUCCUAAAGAAGUCGGAGAUCGUCCACACUAUCAACUACAACUGCUCGGUAUUUUAUAUCGAAACACGUUUGAGUUAUGGCAUGUAUAGGGAUUUAGUUAUUUUGUAUGUUUGUAAUGAUGAUUUUGCUAAUGAGUGAUAGUGUAAGUAUUUGAUGAUGUAUGGUUAUUAAAAUGAUUAAGGAUGAAGGUGUUUGUUGUUAUGAAAGAUUAGGUGAUAAAUUAUGCAUGGAAAUCAUGAAAGGAUAGAAUUUUGCAAAGAAACAGAAUUCAGGCAGCACAGUGACGUGAAUUUGAAAAAUCACCCAAGAUAGUAUAAAAUGAAUUAGAGGGUGAAUGAUAUAUGGAAUUAAAGCUUGUUGAGUCUAUUUUCAUGGAAAAAUAACGGUGUAGAAAAAGGAAAUUUAUAUUUUAAGAUAUGUGAAUUUUAGUAAUAUAGGGUCAGAACUAUUUUUGGAGUCCCCUGUUCUGAGUUUAGAAAAUAAUUACAAAUUGUACAAAAAUGGUUAUGAGUUGAAAUUUACAUUCAUAGAUUUCUUAGUGAGUCUAUUUUCUGUAGAAACAAGUAAGAACUUCAUAUGAAAAUCCUACAGUGAGAAAACUUAUUUUUAGUGACUAGAGGUCAGGGCAGUCAGGUGGUGAAACAGGGGAGACUUUAACUAAUAAACUGUACUAAUUUGCUGAACCAAAAAUUCUAAAAAUUUUAUGGUGAGUAGAUAUAUGAGUCUAGUUUCAGGGAAAAUUUACGGAAUUAAAUUUCGAGUUCUGUAGCUCAAGUUAUAAUUAAUUUAGUAACUGCUGCGCGAUUGGACAGAUUUGCUGCGAAUAAUAAAAUAAAUUUUCAAACCUAGUUUUUAUGCUCCGAAUUGGUAAGAUAAGCUAAGUAAUGCCUCGUGCUCGACUCCGGAAACGGUCUCGGGUAAGGGGUGUUACACGUUCCAUCAAUUAUUUUUAAAAUUUUAUGUGGUUAAAUGAUAGAUUUAUGAAUUUGGUUGUUAAAUAGGACCAUUUUGUAAAGUAAUGUUAGUUAGUUUUGAGUUUAGGGACUCAAGUGAUAAAAUGUUGAAUUUAACAAGGAAUUCUUGUGAAAUAUAGUUACUUGGGGGCUAUUAAGGGACUAUAUUGAAUUUGAAACUAAUUUUUUGGUCUAAUUGUGAAAAAAUGUAAGUUUCAAUUUUAGGGACUAAAUUGAAUAAAAGGUAAAAUUUUAGGGUAAUAGUGUAAAAUAUUACUUAAGGGUCAUGUGCAUGUACUUUGACAUUAUAAAGUAAUUGAAGUUGAUAAUUGAAUUAAAUUAUAUUAUAGAUCAAGAAAUGGAUCAACCGGUAGACAAGUGGAAAAGGAAAAAUUUGUUGAGUAGUCCUUGGUGUCGUGUUUGAUGCUGAUUCAAUUUAGGUAAGUUCAUAUGGUGUAUAAACUAAUUUAAUUGUUGCCUUUUGUGAUUUAAAAUGUUAUGUAUGAUUACGAUUGAAUUUCUUUGUGCAAUAAUCUUGAAUAUUGGAUGGACCAAAUUGUAAGGAAUUGUAUAAUUGGUGUUGGUGAUUGAAAAAGGAACUGAAUAUAUUUGAGUUCAUGCUAGUAUGGUGAUGUUUAAAUGACUGGAAGUUACGGACAUAAAUGAGACCUAUAUGAAAGCAGUGAAAGACUAGGCUGCGAAUGGCAUGUCAUUAGGGUUAUUAUCAUUUCGGGUGUUGGUAUUGAAUGUCUUACUGAUGGCUAAAGCCCUACAUUUGUUGUGGAUUCUUCACAACUUGUGUGAGCAGCAUCGUAUAAUGUUAUCAUCUCGACCCACAACUCGUAUGAUCAUGCCUAUUUACAUAGCUUGUGUGAGCAUUUACAUUCAUAGCUCAUGUGAGCAUUUUAUCUCAUGUAUCCAACGCUAUUUUGCUAUAGUUCAUCGGGUGGAAAUAGGACAUACGAAAUGGAAAUGAUAUUUGAUUUAAUGACAAGGGUAUGGAUAUGUAUUAUGUAUGCUUGUGUUGUAUUUGGUAUAUAAGCAUGAAUUACGAUUUAUGUUUCCGAUGUGAUUAAGCUAACCUUGUUGGAUUGUGAUAUGCAUAGGACAAAGAAUGUCGUGUUACCAAAUUGUAUAUGUAUAUGUGUGUGUGUGUGUGAUAUUUUCUUACGUUAUAUUAAGAUCGGUAAGUUAUGUUUAAUUUUGUAUGAACAUACCAGGCACUAUGUUGCUUAUGUUUGCUUUGUUUGAUUUCUUGUAGAUCAUCAAAAGUUCUGCAAUCGAUUGGAAACCAAAUUGAAGUUCACACUAUUUGUUCAACGAGUAGAUUUUUUAUCAUUUUGGGGUAGGUUAUAAGUGACAUAUAAAUAGAUGUUUAGGCUUCAUAUGUAUAUAUGCAAGUUAUGGUUUGAAAUGGUAUUUUAGUCAAACUUCACAUAUCAAAUCACACAUUAGAUCAAAGUUUAUAUAGAAUUUUAAUAUUUAUCUUUUUGUUUUAUGAAAAAUACUUAUAACUAUUAAAUAUAUAUUAGUAAACAAUAUUUUAAAUCGAUAUGAAAUAUAUAUCAAAAUGAUUUAAAAUUUUACAUAACAAAUACGAUAAAUUUAACAACUAAACUGUUAAAAUGUCAUAAAAAAAGUCAAGAAAGUGUGUAAAAUUCAUACACAAGUACAAAUAGACUCUUCCCUUCCGUAAUAAUUCAUAUAAAAACUGAGAACCUACUAAACAUGUAAAUCCUCACCCCCAAUCUUCUACAGUAGCUUCCAAAAAGAAUAUCCAAAGCAGAUGUUAAAUUGUUUCCCUUAAAAUGUUGGAGACCAAAUGCAAAAUGGUCAACAACUACAAAAUAACUAAAGAAGAGAGAAAACAACAAAGUGUGUGCAUAACUGGAUUAGAAGAAAAGAAAGGUUUAUAUUGUUCAGUCUGCUUCUUGCAUUAGGUAACAAUAUUCAAAAUAAAUCUACGUUUAAUUCAUAAUUUCAUACACAGCAUGACAAAUGUAAACGAUUACCUAUCCCUGUAGCCUCAGUUUUUAUACACAGAUUAUAGAUAAUAAGUUCAUAUUAUUAUACUUUAUCGUCAUGGAACCACCAUCUCGUCUCCUUGGGAGACCUGCCAUUGCGACAGUUCUUAACAUAUCGAUCGUUAUCAGCUGGCCUUUGCUGCAUAAUUAGAGAGUGAAUUCAGUAUUCCACCUUUGAACAUAUAAGGCCAAAUCUUAGGGAACAAAACAAACGGUCAAAUUGCUAAUAAUUCCAACAAACCUUGGCAGUUGAGCUUGAUAACAUGGAGAGAAUGCUGAUGCAGAUAGAACUUACAGUCAUGGCUGGGGACCAGCUAUCAUACAGAAUAUCUGCAAAAUAGGAUCAAUGCAAGAUUUUGAAUGUUGGGUAGCUAGAUAAUGGACCACGUGCAUAUCACAAAGAGAAGUGCAAAAUGGAUACUAAUGAUCAAGUAGCCUUUCCUGUUGUUCUACAUUAUCCGAGAACGUCGUGUGACUAAUUGUUUUAACUCUUUUAAUGAUUUAUUUGCUUCCUCAACCUAUUUUGGACUAAAAUGCACACCAGAAAAAUAGAUGAAUGACACGUUUUUUAUCACACAUAUUUGCCGAAAAUUAUUAUGGGUCAUGCUAUCCUGGUAUAGCUAACCAACAAAACAAAUAUUCGUGAACUCAACAGAAACUCUACAAAUGAGAAGCCACAUGCGCAUGAAGCACAAACAUCAAGGAGACUUGCUAAAUAAAAUAUAAAUUGAUGCAGAAAAACCAGAAUUGUCAAGGACACAAGGUGCACUCACAGUGCUUAGACCCUUUACAUGGACUCGGGGACAAGUUGCAAAAAAGAAAAAAAAAAUCCAAGUGAAAGUAAAGCACAGCAUGUGUGUGAAUGUGGACUAAUUUCUCUAAAAGAUGAUUGACAUAUUUAGUUACUUUGGUUCAAUAUGCAAGAUUUCCUUAUGUUCAAGGUUUUCUGUUUGAUUUUCAAAUACUAAGAAGUAGAGGGUUGAUACACUCUCUUUAUUACUAGUAAAGGUACAUCUAAUGAAUAAGUGAGAAAAAAAUUAAAUUAAAGAGAACUUCAAUCAAGUAGGCCUUUCUUUUUUGCACCUAUUGCCUUACAAAAAAGAUUGCCUAGGCGCACCCAAAUGAGGUUCACUCAAAAAGGUCUAAGGCGCUUUUGUUGUCUAGUGCCAAGGCGCAAGCACACCUAGGCACAUGCCUAGACAACACUAACAAAACAAUGCAAAAUAGAUUUCUUAAUGGCCAGGAAGGUUGCAAUUAAUCAACACCUAAAGAAAGAACAGUUCACACCAGAGUGCCGUAUUCAAAGUCUUCAUGAAACUUUACCUAAUCAUCAACACCUUGAGGAUCAUGUAAAGCCCACAGACACGAAAGACAAACUUUUAGGACGGACCAUAUUUUACUUUCUUGUGUGAUACAUACAACAUUCUAGAUGGUCAAGACUCAUUCAUGGCUAUGAUGAGUAAACUGCUCAAAACAAGUACUUCGCUAAACAGUUAGUCGCAUUAAAUGCAAAAGAUGACCAGCCUCUCUUAGACACCUUCCAGUGAGUAUUUUUCUCCAAAUUAAUAUUUCCAUUAGGUGACCAAGCAACCUCUCUUAGACAUCUUCCAUAACUAGUAAUAUGCUAGAACAGAGCAUCUCCAAACAUAGGACAGCGACAAAAAAACUCAUAAACUCUCUAGCAAGUCACCUCUGAAAGAAAAACAUGGGGAGAAACUUAUCCUCUAUCAGUCUAGCAAUAUAAUAUACUAGACAUUUCUGAGCAAACCUUAAUAUACUCUCAGGCUUACAGCUUGACUAGAAAAAUGAAUGAUGGAAAUGGCAACAUAACACCAUAAGUGAAUAGUUCCAAUAUAAAUAGAUGGCUCAAGAACUACUAUGAACAAUGAUAUAAGAUGCUAUGUCGAUUACGUUGUUAGUCUUACAUCCAAGGAAAGUGCUAAUCAUAUGCAAUACCAAUGGAACAUUAAAUGACCUCCCAUUUAUGCAGAUGUCAUUUAUCGAAAUUUAUCAUGGCAAUUUGAAUUGUAAUUUACAAAUACCACAUGACUAAUGGAAACAAUGUAUCCAUAAAGGAGAGAGGGUGUCAGGGAACUCAAAGCGAUAUGUCAAAAAAAGAACCAGUACAAUUAUGAUUACAAAUAAUCAUAUCACGUUCUGCAAACUUCUGAAAUAAACAUUCUCCAUCAGCUGUAAACAUCACACAUACCCCAAGCAGUAAGAUUAAAAAAGACUAGCUGUUCAAGAUAAUUGUAGUUAGAAACAAGUAAAACAACAAAUUAUCCUCAACAAAUCACCGAGUCCAGCAAUGAUUAACGGAAAAACAAACCCUAUAAAAUACCUAAACAAAUAUGUCCAUUGCUAUAAAUGUGAGGAUGUAAUGGCGCAGGAGGAAUGAAAAUCACCUGCUCAAUCAACAAAAGAAUACCACGAUCUCCAUUCAUAAAUCUUCAAUUCCACUGUUUACUCAGAACAAAACAAUAAGGAAAUGGAAAGUAAAUGAGGUACCUGGGGUGCCUCCAUUGGAUAAUGCUCAGGAAAAUCAACCUGAAGCUGAUAAGUUUCGUUAGCAUAAAGCGUUCCAGGGGCUCCGUUGACUUCGAUUAUCCAUCUUUCCAUCAAAAAUAAAAAUCCAAAAAUUUACAGACUAAAAUCCCUCGAUUAACAGAACUAUCCAGAAAAAGUUAAUUAAAAUAGCAAACAAAAAGGAAAAAAACCUUUGGAGAUUAUCAGUGACUUUAUGCUUGAAUCCAGUGGGUGGAUUAACUUGCCAUUCCACUAAUUCUUUCUGGAGUCUAUUACAUGCGAUCUUGCUUAAAGCCUACGAAAAGCAUACUCCAAACAAAAAGAGUAAAAAAAAAGAGUCAAACAAAUAGAGAAACAAAAAAGAAAAUAAAUCAAACAAAUUGGCGGACGCAACCUCAACUAGGGCAAAUAGAUAACAUAAAAAUUCUUUUAGAAAAAAUAUAGAAACCUUGCGUGAAUGAGCUGAGGAGCAAGUCAUGGCUUCUGCGCGAGCGAGCUAGAGAAAAAUGAAAAAGGAUGGUGCCAUCUGCUGUAAUUUAUAGACUAGGCUGUAAAUGUCAAUUACUAUUGCUCGAGAAUUUUGGAGAAAAAUGUCAGUAAAUCGAACGAGCCAGAAAAAUGUCACAAAAUGAGUCGUAAAUCGGUCGAUCAACGUGGCAUGGAGAGGAUUGGGUGCUACACUGGAUUGCAACUUAUAUUUAUUAAAGAAAAACACGAAUAUGUGGAAUAUUCGAUAUUACCAUAAUUAAUUCUAGUUGAUAAGUUUCUUUUAUAAUAUUAAAUCAAUAUUAUAAUAAAUUAAUUAAAACUUAUCACAUAUUGUUUUUUACUGUUUUCAAAUCUACUUAUUGGCAUACGAAAAUUCUUAAUCCUUCCUUUCCAAAUUUGAAUUUGAAAUUUUAUAUUUAGAUAAGGUAUAUAUUAUGAAUAAAUUAGUUGAGAUUCAAUAUCACAUCUCAAAAAUCGGAUUAGUAGAAAUGAACAUUAGAUUGUGGGUUCGAGAAAAAAAUCGAGUUUUGUGUCAUAGGAAUUAAAAUAGAAUAAAAUAAAUAAUUAGUUAAUAAUAAUUAAAUUAAAUAAUAAUGAUAUCAAUAAUUGGGGCAUUAGUAAAAAUUAAUAGAGACUAAUUUGGAAUAAUGGUUACAGUAGAGGUUAAAUGUGUAAAUUAAGACUAAUUAUUAAAAAGAAAGUUAUUAGAACAAGAGAGAAAUAGGAGAGGAUUUAGAGGGAAAUAGUCCAAUUUUUUUUUUAAAAAAAGCAUCUUUUAUAUUUUCUUGGCAUCCAAACACUCUCUAUUCUUUCAAUUUUGUAAGAAAAUCACUCUUUCUUUUCUAAUUUCUCACCUAAACUUAACUCGUUUUUGCUCAAUGGCGCAAAUUCUUGGACUUUUCAAAUUAAAGGUAAAUCUAUUGUUAUCUUAUGUAUUAAAUUUUUAUUAGGUGUUUUUAAUUUGAAUUUUCAUAGAUCUAUUUUAAAGAUUUAUGAUUUUAAAGAUAUAUUUUGCAUAAAAAUGGUGAAUCUCAUAAUAAAAAGCUAAGAGAUGUUUUUAAAAUGAUUUUAGUAUAUUUUAACGAGAUUAAGAGGUUUACAAAUUCAAAUUAUCAAAAAUCUUUAAGUAAUUGUAUAAAUUAAAUGGUUUUCUUUUGAGAAUGAGGAUGAACGGUGGUUUUUCGAGAAAAAUAGUGUCUAGUAAAAUUGAGUUGAAUUGUCGGCCUAGAUCUAUAAUUAGGUACAAGUUAGGGGGUUAGGAGGUAGAAAUUAAGGAUUUAAUUAAGUUAAAAAGAAUAAAUUAAGCAAAAUAGAUUGUACAAAAUAAGCCGAAUAAGUAUGUAUGACUGGAGAGCCGUUGUAUGAACACAAAGAGAUAAAUUAGAUUAUUUUUGAAUGCUUAGUAAUAUGUAUAUUUUUGUGCGAAGCUGAAAACAUUGGUGAAACCUCAACAAACCGGGAUAAAGGCAAGUGAAAAGUUGUCUAAUUUGACGAGCCGUGGUGAGCUAUACAUGAGUGCGUUUGUAUGUCAUGUUUUAGCAUGAAUUGAGAAAUCUAGAGAGUCAAAGUGUGGCUUGCAAACCCCCCCCCCCUUAUGGUAUGGGAACCUUGACUUCUUCUUUAUACAAAUCCUUACAAUUUUGGUUGAAUCGUUGAGUACAUACACAUUGUAAUUUUAUGGUACAAAAUACAUGAACUUAUAAUAUAUAUAUACGUGGGCUUUAUUUUUUAUAUAGUAUAUAUAUUAAUGGGUUUUGGUGAUAUAUAUAUAAUAUACAUAUACAUAUGCAUGGUUCUAUUGUAUAUAGUUUAUAUAUUAAUGGAUUUUGGUGUUAUACAUAUGUGUCACAUUUAGUGGGUUUUAGUUUAUAUAAUACACAUACGGGGUUGGUAAAUAUAUAUAUAUGCGUGUGCUUUGGUUUCAUUAUAUAUUAUGAGUGGGGCUAUAUAUAUAUUAUAUGUGUGGGUUUUAUUGUAGAAUAUAUAUGUUUAUAGGUUUUGUUUUAUCUAAUAUAUAUAAAUGUAUAUGAGAUUUAUAAUGUAUGUUAAAGUUGACGUGACAAAGUUCGCUAAAUAGCUAUGUAUAUAUAUGUAAUAUAUAUUUGUAUAUGGUUUUGUAAUGCUUGCGAACGAAAAAAAAUAUUAUAAUAUGGAUUUUUAUAAUAUAUGAAUUUUAUUGAUAAUACGCAUUUAUGGUGAAUUAUGAAAUUUAAGAUAUUGCGAGUUUUGAUUAGUGUAAAAUUAUAUUAUUGUGAAAUGCUAAGUGCAAGCUCAAUAGUAGUGCAAGCCAAUUAUAUUGUGUGAUAAAAUGUGAUUAAUUAGAUAUGUUGGCAAUGUGAACACUUGAAACCGUUGGAUAUCAUUGCCAUGCCAUAGGAUUGUGAGUACUCACCCUUUUUAUUAUGUAUUGGACAUUGUAGCCCGAAGAUAGCGUUGGAGAGAUAAGGGAAUGUCAAGCAUAGCUCCAUUCACCGUAGAUAGCAUGGUGUAUUUGGAGAGUGAGCAUACGUGCUACACUUACAUGGAGAUAUCGUACAAUUUUAUGAGUCAUAUGAUGUGUUUUGGAGAUCCGUUUAUCCAAUAAGUAUAUAAUUUGACUAUGUUUCAUAUUCACAAAUUGCCAAUAUAUCACUAUGUUGAGUAUGUAAUUUGUGUUAUAUGUGAAUUUUUAAAGUAUGUUUAAAUCCUAACAUGUCUGGUGUGUAUAUUUGUGUUAUAUGCAUGUGUACUCACUCAGCUUCUCCAAGCUCACACUCCUUAUUUUACCUUGUAGAUAAUUAGUUCACGGGUUAGCGAGGAGAGUGGCAAAUCGAUGACCCAUCGUAAGACAUUUUUUUAGUGUAUGUGUGUUGAGCUUUUAAAUUCUGAAGUGAAGGCAAUGUGGGUCGUUCCAAGGGUUUAGUAUUAGAAUUAGACUUAGAAAUUCUAAAUAAAAUUUUCAACGGGUUGUAAAUGAACAUCACAGACUGUCUAACUUUGGGAUUUUCAAACGUUAUAAUUGCUUGCUUUAUUUCUUGUUUGGAUGGUUUUAUUACUUGAUUAAUGUGAUGAUAAUUAAAUGAACUAACAAUUUUUUGCAGCUAAGGGAGAUUGUCGAGUAUUAAGGUACAUCUUAUACCUUCUAAUUGUGUGAAUGAAAUGAUUAAUUUAGAAAAGCAUGCACUUAGGUCUAAUUUUCUAUAUGAAAUAUUUUGCAAAUGUGUAGUGUGUAUGGUUGGUUGGGGUGAUUCAUAAAGUUUUAAAUGGAGAGUCACUUCGGUGGCUAAUGUGAGGUUCGAAAUUCAAGUCAGAUCGUUGGAACGACGAAAAUGUGCAAGUGUACACAAUCGCAACAAGUAAUAAAGUGACAAGUAAAUGUCGAGUUAUCGUACCCACAGGGACUGUAAAAAGAAAUAUUUAUGAAAUUAAUGUUAAAACACUUUGGUGAUAGAAAAUAUUUUGGUUUAAAGAUGAUUAAAAACUAAAGGUUAAAAACUAAGUAAAAAAAAUUUAAAAAUAAAAAGGUUCUAAUGCAUGAUUUCAAAUAAGGUUUAAUCAAGACGAUAUAAUUGUGUUGGGUUAAUUACAUUCCUUUAACUUAGAAUUAUUAAACUUAUGUUUAUACUGCUACGAACAAAUUCACAGCAACUCGGUAAUUUGCUAACUACUGUUCAUACAUACUUAUUAAAUUAAUCAAUCUCUUGAACAUUUUUCAAUGUCAAUCCAAGAGAUUAAUCAAUCUUCAUAAGCAUAUAAAAGAUCAAGUGAGGUAACAGAGUAUUUCUACCUUGAAACAGUUUAAUCACAAUAAUCUUGCAAGUUAUGCAAGGCAUAUGUAUCGCCAAAUACAAUGCUAAAUUAACUUCAGCUACCUUAGAAGAAUAAACAUGCACUGGUUAAGUAUUGUGUCGAUUAAUUACAGUUUCAAUAGGAUUUAAUAAUUAAUUCAUUAGUUAUCUAACAAUUAAUAUUGCAAGAAUAACUUAGGCAUGAUUUUACUUAAUCAAGCAUCUUACCGAGGCCUAUAACAGCACAAACACAAUUUCAAUAAUUCAAGCAGUCAAAAUAUAAUCAACCCAACACGAAUUAAAUUCAAACUAGAUUGAUUAAAAUAACCAUUCCAAUAGCAUAAAUAUUCAUAAACAUGUUUGUCAAAACAACAACGAAAUUUAAAGAGAUAGGGAACAAGAAGCAAAUCCGGUGUUUCUCCGUGGCUUGACUGAUUUCUCCGUUCUUCGUUCUCCGUUGUCCUCGGCUAUCAAGGUGGCUUAUGAACACUUUAAUUGCUGCUCAACAAUGGCUGAUGAGGACCUCUUUCCCAAGAGAAGAAAUUGGCACUUGAGCAAAAGGGAAAAUGGGAAGAAAAAGUUGAGAGAAAGUGAUAAAGGAGAAGAGAGAAUGAGAGUGUGAGGGAUGAGUUGAAUGGUCAGCAAGGGGUGGCUUUUAUAGCUGAUUGUGGCUGCUAAAAACAACAAAUUCCAUCGGCCAAAGAGACCCCCCUUGGCUGGCCACACACAUGGUAAAGUUGAGACAUUCAACUUUACUAAAAAUAGCCUGGGGCAAAUCCAUAAAGCCACAUUUUUUGGAGGGAUUUGAAUGCAAGGUUGAAAGUUCUUCAAGGGCUUCCUUGCAAGCUUAUUUAGUCAGCUAAAAUGCUGAUUUGGGUCAGCACAUGGACAGUUCUUGGCAGCCCAAUUGGUGGCUAGUUCGGUUCACUAGAUUCGAUUCAACCAAUACGGUUCAACUGGACCCUUUUUUUCCAUAAUUAAUUAAUUAUUAAUAAUUUAUUUAGCCCAAAUUAAAUUGGGAAUAAAUUAAAAUUAAUUAUAUUAUGAAUUAGCACACAUUUUUGGACCAUCUUAGGCUGGAAAUAAAUUUGCCUCGAUGCUUCAAAUUGCUUCUCGGUUUUAUUCUUCAAGCAUUGUCUGCCGAGCCAAUUUUCGCCCUUUGUGCGAAUCUGUCGAAAAUAGUCAAAAUUAAUCAAAAUUAACUAUAAAUUUAAUUAAAAUUCAUCAUGUUCAUAUUUUUAACAUAAUUUAAUUAUUUUAUAAUAUUUAAUUAUUUUUCGACAAGAAUUUAACCGAAAUAGCAUGAUUUUAAGUUCAAAAGGGCAUGUAAAAACACAUAAAUUUUUGUGUUUCCAAUCGUCUCGACUGAGUUCAGGGUGUUAUUUAGUGGUAUCAAAGCUAGGUUUAUAAAAACUCAGGCAAAGUCACAAUUUUCAAAAAAUUAGCAUUUUUGAAAAUAUAAAUACGUUGAUUUUAAAAAUUUUAAAAAUGAAAAUGUUUAAACCUUUUUGAAAAAUUAAAUCUUGUAUGGAAAUGUUUCCAAUUCAACUCUUGAUUUAGAAAAUGCACCCAAGUAGCCCAUUUAACUAGAUGGGUUUUUUUUCUUUCAGUUUGGAUAGUGAUUUUUUUUGGUUUUUUAUUUUUUUAAAAGAAAGUUAUUUUAGCUCUUAAUUAAUUUUUCGUUCUUUUUUACUUUUGAAUUUGUAUUUUUUGUCAAAUCACUUCAAAAUGAAUGAAAAAAUUUAAUGUUUGUUAAUUUUGCUUACAUGGCAUACAUGUGGAUUGACAUGUAGAUGACACCUUAACAUUUAAUUAAUUUUUAAAAUUUAAAUAUAAUUUUUAAAUAAUCUUAGUGACUUUUAUUUUUUUGAAUUUUUAAAUUUUAAAAAAUAAUAAGUACUGUCCACAUGACAAUCCACGUGCAUAUCAUAUCAGCAAAGUUAAAAAAAAUUCAUUUUGCCAUUCAUUUUGAGGUAAUUUGACAAAAAAAACGCAAGUUUAAAGGCUAAAAAGACAACAUUUUAAAUAUAUAACUAAAAUAAUUUUUUUGUAAAGUUGAAGAACCAAAUAAAUCAUUAUGCAUUGUUGAUUUCACCAUGUAUCAUGUGAAAUUGUCCCACGUGACAUUUAUGAGUUUUUUUUAAAUUCUUUUUAAAAUAAUAAAAUUUUUGUAAAAAAUUAAAAAUAUUUAAAAUUUUGUAAAAAUUAUUAAAAACUCUAAAAAACUAUAAAAGUUUUUUUUAAAAUAUUAAAAUAUUUUAAUUUUAAAAAUGGAAAUAUAAAAAUUACUAUAUAUAAAUAUUCCCUCGCAUGAACCAUCAACAAUUCAAUCCCUCAACCCUCUCUUAGUCAAUACAACACUCUCUUUCUCCGUUAUGAUAUUUCAUAUCGUGUUUGUUUUCUCUUCUUGGCUUUUUUCUUAAUUUUCAUUUCUAGCUCUUAGCUAAGUUUAUUUUGACAUUUGAUUUCCAUGUUGUCAUAUUUUCUUCCAUUGUUUUAAGCUAAUAAAUGACCAGUUCAUAUGCUACUAAUUUUGGCUAAAUAAGGGUUAUAGGUUGAUUUUAACUUUAAUUAAGGAAGUACGCCAAUUUUAGGAGAGAGAAAUAAAAAGCGCAACCAGCUGGGUCCCGUUUUCUACACAGAUGGCAGCAAAGCACAUUCAACUAGACGCACUUUCUGUUUCUCUCUCUAGGGUUAGGGUUUUUAUUUUAUCAGUGUAAGAGUUUAAGGUUUUUUAAGGUUUAGGGUAAAUAGAUAGUGUUCAAGGUUUUCGACUGAAACGAUAAAAGUUCUUAGGUAGUUUUGAGGGGUCGGGGAUGUAAUAAUGCGUCUCAGCACAAAUACAUUUCAUAUGUCAUGGCAGGAUAGAACCAUUGCCUGAGAAACCCAUACUAGGGAAAUCAGGUCUUAGGGGCAAUAGUGCUUGAUACAAUCGAAGGUUAAAUUCCAAGUGGAGGUCCCAAUUGGCAGUCGUGAUGUAGUCACAGGUUCGAGUAUAACUGGGGGCUCGGUGACGGUUGUUACGCGGUUAGGAGUUCAAGCGUUUUAGAUACCUACAAACAAUGCCCUAUAUAUACCAUAUAUAAAAUUGAUGUCAUAAUCAUACGAAAAAACUCUGGGAACUUCCGGUGUAAUCAACAUAUUUUUUUUCUCUAUUUCCAAGCAGCUGGUAUCUUGAACCUUUCAUUCUUGUCUGAAGGCUGACACCGAGAUGGACAUUAGAGGACUCUCAGGGGGAGAGCGGAUGUUCCGGCACAAGAGAGGUCAAACUCAAGUCAGCAUGGCAGUGGUUGUAGUUAUUAAUGGGCUGUGUAAUAACGACAACUGUCAUCGCCUUGAAAUGAACAUCACCUUCAUUGCACUUCAAGAACCGCUCUCCGUUUGAGAGUCCUCUUGUGUCUACAAUGGUGUCUGCCUUCAAAUAAGAAGGAAGGUUAAAUGUACUGGUUGCCUAAAAAUGGAAAAAAAAUUACACCAAUUAUAGCAGGAAACCCUAGAGUUUUUUAUGUAUGAAUAUGCCAUCAAACUUCUGUAUGGUAUUUACAGGGUAUCAUUUUUGGGUAUUUAAAAAGAUUGAGCUCGUGGCUGCGUAAGGACCUUCAAUUGGCACCCCAAUUAUACCCUAAUCCAUUACCACAUAACAGUCGUCAAUUGAGACCUCUAUGUCGACUUCCACCCUUGAUCGUAGAAAACAAAAUCAUCCUAUAAUCGACUUUUCUAGGAUAGGCUUCGGAGGUAAUGAUCCCAUCUCGACAUGAUAUAUGAAAUGUGUGUGGCUUGGAGCGAUAUCGCAUUACUAACGACUCAAGAAUACUUCGAACGUAAACCAAAUAUUUUUAGUGACUGAAAUUUUUAAGACUAAAAAAUUAUUUAUAAUGGAGAAAUGGAGAGGAUUUGAGAGAAUUUAUAUUAUUGAGGGAUGAUGAAACUUGGUAUGUGAGAGUCAUUUUAUAGCCACAGGGAAGGGUCUGUUUGCAAAGGAAAACCUUGAAAGCAUGCUGGAACAUAUUCUAAACGUGUUGAAGUGUUUAAAGCAUCCAAAUUAUUUGAAGCGUCAGACUUUUCUGCCCUAGGGAAUAGGAAAUUUGUUAGAGAAAGCUCCCCUAGUUGGGCGAGCUUUCUCUAACAAAUUUCCUAUAUUCUGAGGGUGAAAGAACCUUUGCGUAUAACUGUAGAGCAAGUUAUGUAGCACCGAAUCUCGAUGAAAUUAUUUGACUUCUGAACGGGUGAUUCAUAGCAUGUAUUUGUACCAUACAAUAUGCAACAAUUGUGUGCAUUCAUAAACAAAAUUCAUAGCACAUAUUCUCUUUCACCCUACAUAAUUCUCUUAUAAAAAGGACGUAAUUUUUACACCAAAGACACGAAUUAAGUUAAUAUCAAACAAAAUAACCUUGCAUCACGGGUGAGAGUUGUGUGUAGUUUUUCGGAUAACUCUCCACUUAUUUUUUUGCGUUUAUUCAUCCAAACCGUGAUUGAUAUUAAAAUGAGUCGACGAGUGAAAUCCGUUUAAUAGUCAAAUCUGUAAUACAGAGUUUGGGGUGGUGCUUGUAGGAGUGAAGUCUGUGGAAUUUGCGUUCAAUAGUACCAUUCAAAUGCAUGAGCUACAUGUCAGAAUUAAGAGGAAAGUCUAGGGAUCGUUCCAGAGAAGAAUUACAAGGUUGCAAUGCAGAUUUCUUGCAUCAGUUGACCCUUAUAAGUAUGAGCUAUUCGAUGUGAUUAGUGAGACGGAUCUUGAGACAGUCAUAUCAUCAUAUAUCUCAAGUGGAAAUAUUGUUAUUAAGUUAUAUGUCAAGUUCACCAAUACUGAUGGAUCUGGCCCAUCUUCGACCACCGUCGUGGCGAAUACAGGUAUUGUAACUAAAUCAAAAAGUCCUACUAAAGGGUUGUGCGGUGGGUUUUUUGGCCUCAUUCAAAAUGACUACUAUGAUGUUCCCGAAACAUUUAUAAACAGACACUCAUCGAUCUUCGGGAUCGAUAUAAACUUUGAGGGUCAGUAUUAGUUUGGGUAUCAACAUAACCCAAAUCUAGACACUCUGGCUCGACAUUCAAUCAGUACAUUCGAUUUUAACUUUCAAACUAGGUUGAUGUUAUGGGGCAGAAGCAGUUAUAUUGGGGGAUCAUCGAUGUAGACCGGUCAUCAACCUGUUAAAUAUUCUGACAGGCAUAUGGGUUACAAGAGAACCGAUGACUUACUUCUUUCGACGGAGGUAGUGAAAGUACCUCCAGCACCAUGCUCGAAUGUGACAAUGAAAGCACAGAAGAGGAAGGGCAUACAAGUGAGGAAGAAUGGGCUGUGGACGCAAACGAGAAGGAGGAGUCAGAACCUGAGUCAAACUGGCAAUGCGGUUUGGAUGGUUCAAAAGUAACAUUAUUUUUUGAACCAGAUCUGGUUAUAACGGAGCUAAAACCUUGUGAGUCCAACGAUGACGCCUUGGAUAAUGCUCCGGAUCCAGAUGUGUAUUUCAAGCCGGAUGAAUCUCUGCCUCAUAUAACAAACAUCGACCUAUUGGUCAAUGGUGGUUUAAAGAUUUCGCAGCUUCUGCACAGAACACCUAGUUAUGUAAGCACAUAUCGUGAUGUGAGAGUACUGGAAGUUAGAAUGAAAUACCUAGACAAAGAUGCUUUUCUUGUUGCACUAAAGUGGUACAACAUCAAGAAUGGUGUGAACUAUUAUGUCAUAAAGCCUCGUUUUGAAAAAUUCGAAGGAAAGUGUGCAACAAAGGACGAGAGAUGUAAGUGGAAAAUCAUGACAUCUUAUUGGAAGAAAAUCGAGAUGUGGACGAUAAAGAAUAUCCUGGUUUCCAUACCUGUGUUGUGACAGAUGCAAGUCAGGACCAUCCGAGGCUGGACUCGAACAUGAUUGUUGAUAUUAUUCUACCAAUGGUGAAGGCCAUUCCCCAAAUUGAAAUAUCGGUGCUGAUUACAGACAUACGUAGCCAGUACACUCCAAUGUACUACAAAGUCUGGGGUACAAAAAAAAAGCUAUGGAGAAGUUCCAUCACGGGUGGGAGGGUUCGUAUAACUAUUUAUGGCAAUGGUGUCAGGUAUUAGAUCGGUACAUAGCAAGUUCUGUAACCGAUCUCGAAACACACCUAGGGUACUGCAACGAUCAAUUGGUCCUUGAAAAAGAGUAUUCCACUAGUUCUUUUGGACCUUUGAGCAAUGCAAUGAGGCAUUUCAGCAUUGUAAGCCUAUGGGUCAAAUUGAUAGCACCUAAUUGCAUGGAAGGUAUCAGCAGCAUCUGUUGCUUGUCGUUGUUCAGGACGGUAAUUAGAAUAUUCUGCCUAUAGCGUUCACAAUAACUCCUAGAGAAACAACAGAUGGCUAGGAUUUCUUCCUAACCGGGUUACGCCGCCACGUUUGCCCACAUGUGUCAUAUCGGAUAAAGGACUUGGAAUACUCUCGACGAUUGAUCGUCAAUGAUCCCUCUAGGAUCGCACUCAUCAUUCGUACUACAUACGACAUGUGGGAUCCAAUUACUACAAAAAAUAUCCUUCGGCGAUUGAGUGAGAUCUAGUCAUCAACAUGGGUUUGUAAUUCCAACUAUGUCUUCAUUGUACAUCGAAUAUUCAAAUACGGGUUUAUUUGAUUGCAACUAUUUAUUGAUAGGUUAUGAGCUCGUCCAACAUCGAUUCUAUCAAAAGUUGAACAACUUGAGCACAAUUAUCGUAGUCAUACAACGAGGGUCUACGAUACAAACACUUGAUGUUAAACUUGGCCGAGUGCAUCAAUUUGGUACUAAAGGAGACACGCCACUUGUCAGUAACAUCGAUUGUCAAAAAGAUAUACUUUCGACUGGCUGCCUUAUUUUUUAAGACGGUGUCAACGUAUCCUGGACAAAUAGUAGACGACGUACAUUCUGCGAUGACAUGAUGCAAAGGAUUCGGUGAAGUACAGUGAGAGGAAACAUGAUGUAUGUAGUGUACCACUAGCGUUAAAACCUCGCUUUUUGAGUCACGAAGCACGUUAGGCCCAAUGAGAAAAUGUUAGGUGUAUCCUAUCGUGUGAACCUAAUGGAAGAGACUUGCAAUUGUGGGAGAUUCCAAGCAUUUCGGUUCCCAUGCGCACAUGCAAUUGCUGUAUGUGGGAACAUACAUAUUGACUACCUUACAUCAACGACGUCUACCGACUACAACGCAUUCAUAGUGUGUGGAGUCUUGAAUUCCCACUCAUUCCAAAUGAGAGUAUGUAACCGUUUAUGUCUAGUGUGUCAUUCGAGUUAGUGCCAAACAAGGACCUGUGUUACGUCCCAAAAGGUCACCCGAAUUCCACCCGAAUAAAAAACAAUAUAGAUAUUCAAGAGAUACACGGUCAAUAAAAAUUAUGCAAGUAUUGUAUAAACCUAGGGCAUACAAAGACAGUAUGUUCUCUAUACAGGGAUACGUUGGGGACUUGGCAUCGAUAACAUUACUUUCUACCAAAUUUCAUAUUCAUUAGUGUGCUUUGCGUAUUUCGUUUUGUUUAAUUUCUUAUUUAUUGUUAACUUACGCAUAACUCAUGAAAAGACAAAUGUAUUGUUCAAAUAAAGACUUUAUACUAAUUGUAAUAAUUAAUAAUGUACAACACCUAAGAUGAUUGUUUUCUAAUAAUUAACUAUUUUUUAUUUUAUGUCAAUUUUUAUUUACAUCACAAUAUUUAUAACCAAAUAUACAUCGCACUUAUCGUUGGGGAGAAUGUGUGCAGCAAGGCAGUGGACGACGGUCACGUGGAAGAUUUCUGUGUGGAACCGGGCAUACAACCAGAGGUUCAACAUGAGGUGUCUCUAGAGGUGUAUCUGAAAGUACGGACCUGUAGACUUCCUCCUCCUCGUCAUCAUUGCAUGAAUAGGUACCUGGCAUGACCCCCUAGGCAACUGUUUCUUUAGGAUCGGUAGCGUCAUCAUCUUCUUUCGUGGUCGAUUAUUGCAUUGUCUUCGCCUACCAUUGUGUAUUCUCCACUCCCGUGUCUAGUGGUUGCGACAAUGAGCCAUCACGAUAAAAUAAUGAUGCGCGCGUUGUUUGGGUCAUUAUAGGCAUGUAACCAUAAGGUGUCCCAAAUUCUGGGUACAACGGCAUCGACUCGGACAUCAACUAAUGCAUAAGCGUUUGCAUCAGUAUCAUCAUCGAUGGCGGUACAUACGUCAGCAUCUGUCCCUAUAUGGGGUUCGACAUCGACAACGGUAUGGGAGGGCAGUAUAUGGGGGACAUUGGUUCCCCAAAAUAUGAACCUGCAAGAACAAAAUAAUCGGCCACAUGCGAUAGUGGUGCUUGUGAAAGAUACAUGGGGUUACUGAAUUGAAGGGGAAUAAGUUGAGGGUACUAACUCGGAUAUUUCGUAGCCAUAGACGACGCAGCUUUUGCCUGAAUUAAUGACCAACUUGUCGUGUGAUUGUGUCCCCUCUUAUACUGUUGUGGUGAUCGACGUUACCUCUUCGACCGAAUUUUCUUAUUAUUUGCCUCCGGUGGUAGUAGAUACGACUUGCCAGUAGCUCUGAACCGUGUCAAGUAAUCAUCAGCUGCCUCCGUGUCCCCCAAGAAAAAUUGUUCAUAGGAAGUUAUGGAUUCCAUCUUAUGAUUUCAAGCUUGGAUGUAUUCCUUGUGCUUCUCAGCCCGAUCCUCGUUGUUCUUCCCCUGCAUGUCCACCUUGUGCAGUUCAUUCAUGUCUCGCGAUGGCGGUAAAAUUUGUUACCUAUACUCAAACUACCGUAGAACCCGGUCUGAUUCAUGCAUUUCCACCACCGCAGACACUAUCAAUGAAACCUUCGCAUCCCACAUAUCCCGAUUGUCCAACACUUUCAGCGGGAUGAAAGAUCUGCUCUCGAGGUCGGCAUACGGCAUCUAUUCAAACUGAAAAACAUAAAUUGUAAAUAUCAUUAUGUACUGAUAUUUUGAACAAAUCAUUGCGUAAUUAAUAUAAGUUCAAAAAAGAUAGAAAAUUAACCUCAAUUUUUGACCGUUGAUCGAACAAUAGCCUAACGUUUUCCAACUCAUUUAGUAGUCCCACAUAACUCAGGCCAUGGUUCCACCUGUACAAACGAUAUAUUAGGCAAAACAUAUAAUAAAUAAAAACGUUUACUACACAAAUUAUGUAUUUAUUGAUAAAUAAUGUUUUCCUGACACCAACGGGAACGUAUAUGUGUCGAUGGCUCUAGGACAUAGAAACGGUAUUCGCCAUUAGGCCCAUGACUAUAGCAACAGCAAGCAACCAAUGAUCAACAUCUUAUCCAGUUGCAUUACCUGAAAAAGCUCUCGGUAUAACGUCGACAACACAACAAAUCCCAAACUUAGUUUUGUGCAUUCACUGAAAUCCAUUAAAUGUAGAAGCCACCUUACGUGCACUAAAUUUCUAGCUUUAUCGGGCAUUAAAAUGCCCCCAAUUAACCUCAUGAUGAAUGCUCAGGCGUACUAUUGUAUAACCUCAUCCGUUGCGUCGUUGGGAAGCUUAUCGAAAUUUUUCUUCAACCAAUUGAUCAAUAUCUAACCACCUUCAAGUUCGGGACCUUCCCCAACAUUGCCAAGCAGAGGUCCACUUUCCCCCAAACCAUCGUUGAUCCCAUGAUGAUUGGCCCAUCCAUCACCAAAUUGAGCUGUACCACUACGUCCUCGAGUGUGAUUGUACACUCGCUGCAUGAAAGGUGGAAAUCGUGUAUUUCAAGCGUCCAUCUUUCCACCAACACGCUAAUUAAUGUGGGAUCGAGUUUGCAGCCCCUUUGUAUGCGAGACGCAUGCAAGAAUCCAACCUCUUGCAGGUACCUACGAAUUUCAGGGAUCAGAGGCUCCCUGUAUUAUGUACGAACGCCUCCAGCACACGAUCGUUCGCCUAUUAAUAACAUAAAAAAUUAUUUAGAUUUAUAAAAAAAAUUUAGCGUAAUUAAUUAAAAAUAAAGAAAUUUAAAAAUAACGAAUUACCAUUGCUAAUUGGGCAGCAGAAAUAUGGUUGCUUUCAAAGAGGAUUAGAGAGGCGUCCAUUCUCGAGAAAUUGAUCUGAAUGAAUAAAAUACGAUAUAAUUAAAAAAAUAAAUAAAUUUUGAAUAAAAAGCUUGAGACAAUUGAGAGAAUGAUGUGAAUGAAAAAAUGAAAAUUGGGGGGGUAUUUAUAGGUUAAAGAAAUUACUGUUGGGUUUUAAUUUUUUUUACCGUUUGGCGCGGCAACGGUCAAAAAGCCGUUACAAUUAUCGUUGAGGAAAAGUGUGUCCAGUUGGGUGCACUUUACUGCCAUCUGUGCAGAAAGUGCGCCCCAUUGGAUGCGCUUUCCGUUUCUGUCUCCUAAAAUCGACCUAUUUCCCUAAUGAAAGUUAAAAUUGACCUAAAGGCCUAAUUAAAAAUUAAAAUCGGGCUAUACCCCUUAUUUAGCUACUAAUUUUGUUUUUUUUAUGCAUUAUCCCAGUGAGUUGUUUAAGGAUCUAUAUAGAAACUGGGUGCAGUUAGAUAAAUCUUGCUUCACUGUCAAGACUAUAUCUGGUGGCUUGAUGAAUCUUCGUGACCACUUUUUUGUUGUUUAUUUGAAAUAUGUGUGUGUUCGUAUUUUCUAUAAUAUUUUUUUAUUUUUUGAGUUUUUAAUAAUUUUAUAAUUUUAAAAAGUUCUUUUUAUAAUUUUGUAUACUUUUUAAUAAAAAUUUUAAAGAAGAUAAUUUUUUUAAAAAAAUACAUAAAUGCCACAAGACAAAAAGGCCAAAAUAAAAAUAAUCAACCGUUAAAAUUAAUGGUCAAAGAGACUACUUUAGUGCAUUUUUGCAGAUCAAAUGUUCAAUCGGGUGUAAAAAAAGGGUUUAAUUAUAUUUUUUAAAAAAGUUAGGGUUUUCUAAACCUUUAAUCUUUCAUAAAAUAAUCAUUUUUAUUAAUUUAAUAUUAUAUCAAUUAACUUAUUACAGUAAAAUUCAAAAAGAAGAAAUAUAUUUUUACUAAAUUAUCUUUAAAUUGUUUUAAAUUAAAAUUUAAAAAAAAUAUUCAAUUAAACAAAGGUUAAAUAAAAAAAAUCAAUAUCAAGUUAAAGUCUAGUUAUAAAUUGCUUUUAACUCAUAAGUGCAAUUAAAAAUAUUAAUCAAAAUGACAAAAUUCAAUUAUCACAUAAAGUAUAUCAACUAAUUUCUUAAAGAUAUAUUCUUUUAUUCUAUUUAUCUAAUUUUUUUAGGAUGGUAAGUGUAAUCACUGAAUUUUGUCUGGUUCGAAUCUCAUGUUUUAAUUUUUAUUUCCAAGUUACGGGUAUGGAUAAUUUGAGCUCGAAGUUUUUUUUGAUCAAUGGAUUUAGGGUUUGGGUCUGUCUUAUAUGGGCCCAAUGAUUGAGCCUGUUGUGAUUGGAUAAUUGGGCUUAUACUAAUCUAAUUUUGGACUUGUUUGGGCUUUAGCCCAUUAGUGUUUUUAGUUUUUUAUGCUAUAUUAAUUUUAAAAAAGAAUAAUAAAAAAAUAAUAAUAAAAAAGGAAAAUCAGAAAAAUACAAAAAUAUACUAUUUACAUUUUGGCCCCUACUUUUUAAUAUUUACAUUUUGGCCCUCAAAUUUUUCUAAAAUUACAUUUUGGCCCUGAGAUUUUUGCGUCUUCUACAAUCUAGUCCUUCUAGCACAUCACGUUAGAUUGUCCCCUAGCAGCCGCCAGGCACAUUUUGCGCACCUACCCUCAGCUACUUCCGGCGAUCGGCCUAAGUUUAUGAUGGCCCUCAACUGCUACCUGAAAACAGAGAAGAAAGAAGAAAAAUCAGCAACAAUAAGAAACAAAAAAAGAAGAAAUGGGGGGUUUUUUCCAUCAGCGAAAAAAGAAGGAAAGAAUAAAAAAAGAAAAAGCUUCAAAAAUAGAAACCAACAUCACCACCAAUCGGAGGCCUUCAAACCCGAAUCCACCCUCACCGACUCGUUGUCUUCCAUUGCUGCACAAUCGAAACCAACCUCCAUUCAGCCACUCCCUCAAUCCCUCUUACCCCUCAAACCCGAGUCCACCAGCCGGGCCCCUCAUCACUCCCAUGGCCCUUCCACCUUCCUCAUCACUACCGAGACCCAAAAAAAACCAAAAUCAAGCACAACAAUCACAAAGGUAGUAGCUAAACCGAAACCCAAACAACAAUAGUAACCAAAAAAAUAAAAUGGAUAGAAAGAAGACUUAUCUUCAAGAGAGAACGCCGGCGACAGCCAAAUCGCUGGGCAGAAGAAUCGACGGCAGCAAGGGGUAGAAGAAAAGGCUAAGGCUAGAGAGAGAAAAAAAGAAAGAAAAAAGAAAGAAAAAGAAAAAAUAAAAAUAAACUAGAACAGCUGGGUCCGACCCGACCCGUUCCACUGAACCCGUACUACCGACCCAAUACCAGCAGACCUAGUAGGCCCAAUAGCCCAGAUCCAGCAGUAGCAGACCCAAUACCAUCAGCAACAGACCCAACACCAAAGGCAGCCCAAAGCGAAAAAAGAAAAGAGGCCCAUUUCGCCUCGGAUCAAACCCAUAACUUUGGGGCUUUUGGUAAAUUUUUAAUCCACUUUUAAUGUAGUCCAUGUAUUUUGAUGACAUCUCUUUUUUAAUUGAAAUGACAUUUUUAAAUAGUUUUUUUUAGAAAUAUCAUUAUGUUCACUUUAUUUGCAAUUUUAAAUUUAAAAUCAUUUAAGUACAUAAGGCAACGAAUCGGUUUAACAUUAAACCAUUUAUUUCACUGCUACGUUGGGUGGAUAUCAUAGAUUUUUGUUAAAGACGAGACGCCUUUCUAAAAAUUAAAAAAUUCUCGCAUUUUCAAAUCAAAUCUCUAUUUUUGUAAUUAUUCAUAAAUUAUCAAAUCAUUUUAAAUAUAUAUAAUAUAAUAAUAUGUAAUUUAUCAAAUUUUUUAAUCGGAUCACAAUUAAAUAUUGAAUUGAACUUGUAUUUUUCAAAAAUUAAGACAACACGCGCUGAACGAGAUACCAAUUUUGGGCGUCACGAGGGUGCUAAUACUUUCUUCGUGCGUAACCGAUACCCAAACUCUAAUUUUCUCUGGAUUUUGACGUAGACCUAAAAUUGACUCUUUGUAAAAGAAUUUUAAAAAUGAAUUUUCUUUUCAAAAGAGAAUUUAAUGGGUGUCCGAUCCCACCUAGAAAAAGGAUCGGUGGUGGCUUCUCUUUUUUAAGUAAAAUUGAGACUUUUAUCAAAAUUUUCAAUAACCGUCAAGAUAAAAUUUCCUUUCGUAAUGACCUCGACUAGCGCUCGCAAAAAUUUAGGUCAUUACAGUUGGCGACUCCAUUGGGGACCAAGUAGAGAGUCGAGUCUGAUAUUAAACGCGUGUUGUCAAAAUUUUUAAAUUCUUUGUUCAAAUUAACAUUUAAUUGUGGUCCCUAAGUUUCAUUUUUGAAAAAUCAUGCAUAUGCGUCAUGUUGUAAGUAUUUUCUAACUUAUUUUACCCUUUUUGCUUUUCAGCUCUAAAUCUUACGAUUUUAGUUUUUUAGUAAAAAAAUAAAAAGAAAAAAAGGUUUGUGAGUUUCUCCCCACACACCGUGCACUUGCAUUCUUGCAUAACAUGAGCUCUCCACCCGAGCUCCGUCCGUUUAAGUGGAAGUAAACGCUACGCCUUCGUGAGUUAACUUGUCCCUCCGCAUAGGCAUAAGUAAAUGUGAUCCCUCGAAUUGAGCUCGCGAGCCUGUGAUGGGUGAUAACUGAGGCUCCGUACUAGCCUUAGUAUGUGACAGUAUGGACAGUUCAAGUACCUUUCUAGAACCAAAACUACAUAUAGUGAACCGUACGAGCCACCCAAUUAGAGCCAUACCGAACCUCCGUCCGUUAAAUAGUCACCAAAUAAGUACAUGGGAGAAAUGUCUUCUACCUUUUAUUUCUUUCAUAUUUACACUUUUUACAAGGGAAUCAGGUCCGUUUAAUAAAUUUGGAUCGGAUAGAUUAUCUGAUGAGUAUGUGGGGUAGGUUUAUUUCGUAAAGCAUGAUGAGGCGAAAACGUGGGUCAGUUUCUCCAAAAUGCAUGAUUAAAUAGUUUAAUUUGUUAGAUUUACCAUAGUUUUUCCCCCGUUUAUAUUUGUCGUGAUUACUAACUAAGUUUAUUUGUCUUCAUUUUAUUUCCCAUCGCACAUCAUAGGUAUCUUAUUAGGAAAGUGUUGAUUAGAGAUUGGUUACCAAAAAAGGAUUUCUGAUAGAGGAGUCAAUUAUGCAAGUAACCGAGAAGAAUGUUGUAGUUCGAGACUGGUCUUUGAGGACCUAGAAAGCAAAAGGUGAUAGUUUAAAUAAAGGAUAUAUCUCCAAUCUUCUCGGGCAUGUGAUUUCGAAUGCUCGUCAGAAUGACCUCGAAAACUUGACUAGGAUCUGAAAUCUGUGGGACUCAGACACUAGAGGCAUCUUCACUAAAAAGUAUAAGGAUAUAGCUCACUUGAUAACAAUCAAUAUGGACGAGCAGUUGAUUCAAGCCAUGGUUCGAUUUUAGGACCCAGCCUACCAGUGUUUCAUUUUCAAUCAGGAAGACGUGACUCCAACCAUAGAGAAGUAUGCCGCCCUGCUUUGCAUUGACAAUGUUCAACUCAACAAGAUAUAUGUGAAAGAGUCUAAACCGAUGACCUUCAAGAAAAAAGCUAAUAAAGUUGACAGGGAUGACUGAUACAUGGGCUGAAAAACAGAUAAGGAAGAAGAAUGAAUUUAGUUGUGUUCCGUGGUUUUCUCUUCGAGAUUUAGUUCAAAAUCAUCCAGAUAUUUUGAAGAGAGUGGAUCUGUUUGCUUUGGCCAUUUAUGGACUAAUCGUCUUCCCAAAGGUUCUUGGGCACAAAGAAGUUGUGGUAGUGGUUUUCUUCGAAAAGUUGAGGCAAGAAAUCAACCAUGUCCCGACCAUCUUGGCCGAGACUUUUAGAUCUCUAAAUAGUUGUAGGAAGAAAGGGGGAGGACGUUUUAUCGGAUGCGCUCAGUUACUUAAUGAUUGGAUUUUUAGCCACUUUUGGAAAGUGAAGAACAUACCUUUCCAUAUGUUUUCAAUGACAUUCGAUCUAUUAGCAGCAUACCUUGAAAAAUAUUGGUCAAAGGAUGUCACUGAACAGCACUGAAUUUUAAUUUUUCAGAACCUUUGUGCCAAGGAUAUAACUUGGAUAGCACCUUGGAUUCGUCUUUCUGUCCUGUUAUACAAGUGUGGAAACCAAGAUUGGGUGUCUUUACUAAGAUUAUGGGGAGGAGUUAGAUAUGCUCCGUUGAUGGUUCAAAGAUAGUUCGCUUCGUGACAAUUCAUACCAGCUACCGGUGGAUUGGCACAAUCUGAGUUUGCCUUUACGGGUGAUGGUUACAUGAAAAAGGUCCAAGAUACUGUAAAUUCUUGGAGGGAAAUCUACCUAAUGGAUUUAGCUCUUUAUGCUGAUACUUUCACUCUAGCUUAUGACAUAUAGAGACAACGACAAGUGGAGAAUAAACUAACCUCGUCGAUUGAUUAUGCUUUCAAGAAUCUGUUCUCAAAAGAAGCACCGUCCGAGCUGGAGAUGGCAAUACAUGAACUUAAGCGCGAAAAAGCCAAGCUAUUACGAGAUAUUAGUUCUUUUCAGGAGGAAAACUACAAGCUGAAGAUUGAUGUUCAAAUUGAAAAAUCCAGAACCGAGAAAGUCCAAAAAGAAGCUGGGAUCACGAAAAAAGAUUUAAGGGAUCUUCAUUUGGAAAAUAAGAAAUUACGAGGCACUAUAAGAAAUAGUGGACCAUCUGCAGAAUAGAAGGAAGAAAUAAGCAACAUCAAAGGUGGGAUGGAGUUCUAGAGAGGGAAAGCAAAGAAGGAAGAAGAAAAAGCUACACGUGUUAUGAUAGAGACAAGGAAGAAGAAUGUUGAAUACGAAACCAUGUCUGUAGAAUUAAUAACUAGCCAGCCUGGGCGUCAUGAGCUAAAAGGAAAGAUACGAGAUUUAGAAAAUACGCUGUAAGCUCAUCAGCAACAUUUGGAUGACCUCCUAAAAGAAGAGAAGAAUGGUCAGCAUAAUAGAAACAUUUAUGCCUACAAAAUAGCCUUCCAAGAAAAUGAUAUGCAUGUUGGUAGUUUGGUCAAUGAAAUUCGCAAAGCGACUGUGCAAAUAAUGUAAUUAUUGGAUGAAGUAGAAGUUCUCAGUUGCCAAUUCCCUCCAAGUCAAAUAUCGAGCAUGUCGAAGAUCCUAGAACGUGUAAGGAAACAAGGCGAUAUGGAUAGGAAAUUUGUGUAACUGUUAAAUCAGAGAUGGAAAAAUAUUUUGUAAUGGACUAUUUUGAUUAAUGAAACACCCAAUUAUGGGGCUAUCUUGAAAUCAACACCUAUUUUUUACAUAUUUACGCAUGACUAACAUUCAUUAGUCAUUUAUUCAUUGUAUGUACAUAUCACCCUAAUCAUUCACUAAGGCUAAAAUCGUAUACUCCACAAUUACGACAUUACAAGUCUGGAAUCACGUCAUUCUUAUCGGACGCGUCUAAAAGCUAGAGCUAUGGAUGCUGAACUCAACGAAAGAAUUGAAAGGAUGGAAAGGACCCAAAGAGAAUUGCAAGAGCGUCUGGCUAAGUCACAACAAGAGGCGAGAGACCUGAUGGUAAGAUCUCGAGAGGAAUCACUCGAGCAAAAAGAUCAAAUGGCCAAAAUGAUGGAGAUGAUGACAGCCUUGGUCAAAAGAAAGGGACCUAUGUAGAACCCUGAUAUCAUAGAGCCCUAGUCAAGAGCUAAUAAUAAUUAGGAUCCACUCUAUCCCCCAGGAUUCACUCCAUCUCACACCCAUAGAACACAAAGAGGAUACCCCAAGGGGAACCUACAGUCUUGGAGCAACAUCCUACACCACCUACUCAUCUAGGGCAAGGGAUAUUCGUAUCGAAUCCCGGGGCUAAUCUUUCAGAUCCAAUUGUUCCAUAUCUGAAUGAUCCUAUAGAAAUAGCAAGGUUGAAAAUUGAUGAUCAUAACGCUCAAGAUAAGUAUAGGAUCCUGGAAGAGAGGCUCAAGGUAAUAGGUACUCAAGUCUUCUCUGUGUUGAGUGCCAAAGAGCUCAGUUUGGUGCCCGAUCUGGUUCUACCUCCGAAAUUCAAGGAGCCAGAUUUUGAAAAAUAUGAUGGGACGAGAUGUCCAAAGGCGCAUCUUAUCAUGUUUUACCGAAAGAUGACUAGCUACGUGAAUGAAGAUAAAUUGUUAAUACACUACUUUCAAGAUAGCUUGGUCAGAUCGGCUCUUCGAUGUUAUAAUCAACUUAGUAGAGAAAGGCUCCGAUCAUGGAAGGAUUUAGCAUCAGCAUUUUUUGAGCAAUACAAGCAUGUAUCAGAUAUAGUACCUGAUCAACUAACUUUGCAAAUGAUGGAAAAGAAGCUGACGGAGACUUUUAAACAAUAUGCGCAAAGAUGGAGGGAUAUCUCGGUUCAAGGAGAACCCCCAUUAACUAAAACUGAGAUAAUAGUCCUCUUCAUCAACACUCUAAAAGCACCGUUUUAUGAUAAGUUGGUAGAAAGUGCCACUAAGGACUUCGCAAACAUUGUAAUAUUGGGGAGCUUAUAGAAAACAUCAUCAAGAGUGGGAGAAUGGAAGGCCCAGCGAUUUUAAAAAGGGCAGUACCCGUAAGGAAAAAGGAGGCAAAAACCCAUAUGGUUAGAACCGAGAGCCAUUAUAACUCCAAUACGUACCCAGCCUAAUCACGACCUCAUUAUCGCCCACCUUCAAACUUCUACUUUUCUCUCUAAGGUCCUUACUGUCAAGUACCUCCUCCUUACCCAGUCUACACCAUGAAUAACUAAUGAUCGUUCACCAUGUUCCCAUGGAACAUCAUGCCUAUACGAAGCCAACCCAAAAAUGAACAAAGACCAGCAAAACCCAGUUUUGAAAAACCUCAGUUCACUCUAAUUCCCGUAUCAUACGGAGAAUUAUACCCGAAACUAUUGGAGAAGCAAUUAAUAUCCCCAUAUUAGAUGACACCCCUGAAGCCCCCAUACCAAAACAGUAUGAUCCUAACGCUAGUUGCAUGUAUCACACUGGAAAUAAAGGGCAUUUUUUAGAAAAUUGUCUUGCCGUUAAAAGGAGGGUUCAAGGUCUCAUCGAUGCUGGCAUUAUGCGAUUUGAUGGUGUUAGUAAUAUGGCUGGAAACCUUCUUCUUAACCAUACCGAUGGGAAUGUGAAUGUGCUGACAAAUGAAGACAAAUGGCGAGCCAAAAGCUGUGUUGCCAAAGUAAGGACGCCUUUGCGAAAGGUAUGGGAGAUGAUGGUUGAAAAGAGUUUGUUCUGUCCAUCCAACAGAAUUUUCAAAGAAGAAAAUAAAAAAGGUCAAAGUUUUUGUGACUUCGAUGGCGUCGAAGGGUACGACAUCCAAUCUUGUGAGAAAUUCAAAAAACUACUUCAGGACAUAAUGGAUAAUAAGGAGGUUAAGAUCUUUGACAGAAUGGAGGAGGCCGAGGAAGGGGAAAUAUGUGUCUCUUGUAAUCAACCAUUAGUUAUCCCUUAUAGUGUCGAUCGGCCUUUGGUGAUUUAUUACGAGGCAAAUAAGGAGGAAGUUAAACCAAAGGUGAUAAUCGGAGUGCCAUCUCCUUUCCCUUGCAAGGACAAUAAGGCGGUACCAUGGAAAUAUGAUGUCAAUAUUGUUGCACUUGAAGGUGAAAAGUGAAAGGCUACAAAUGAAGGCGUUAGCGGAGUAGGACACUUUACCCGCAGCGGGAGGUGUUAUUCCCUCGAGAUGGUUGAACGAAGGAAGAAAGUCGCUGACUCGAACCAGAAAGGAAAAGCACCGAUGCAUGAGGUUGAGGUCGAUGUUGAAAUGCCAUCUAAGCAGGAAGUUAAAAGACCUGUGAAUGAGGAAGAAGCACAUGAAUUCUUGAAGGUUAUUAAGCACAGUGAAUAUAACGUUGUUGAGUAAUUAAACAAGCAGUCGGCGAGAAUCUCGAUAUUAUCUCUAUUGCUGAACUUAGAGCCACAUCGAAACGUAUUGCUAAAAGUGUUAAAUCAAGCUUAUGUGGCGAGCAAUGUAUCUGUAGAAAAGCUCGAUAGGUAGGUAAAUAACCUGAAUGCGGAUAAUUUCAUCUGUUUUAGUGAUGAGGAAAUACCGCCAAAUGGUAGGGGCUCUAUAAAAACAUUACACAUCACAACCAGUUGCAAGGGUUACAUAGUACCGAAUGUGCUAGCACAGUGAAUAUAGCGUUGUGGAGUAAUUAAACAAGUAGUCGGCGCAAAUCUCGAUAUUAUCUCUAUUGUUGAACUUAGAGCCACAUCGAAACGUAUUGCUAAAAGUGUUAAAUCAAGCUUAUGUGGCGAGCAAUGUAUCUGUAGAAAAGCUCGAUAGGUGGGUAAAUAACCUGAAUGCGGAUAAUUUCAUAUGUUUUAGUGAUGAGGAAAUAUCGCCGAAUGGUAGGGGCUCUAUAAAAACAUUACACAUCACAACCAGUUGCAAGGGUUACAUAGUACCGAAUGUGCUAGCACAGUGAAUAUAGCGUUGUGGAGUAAUUAAACAAGUAGUCGGUGCGAAUCUCAAUAUUAUCUCUAUUUUUGAACUUAGAGCCACAUCGAAACGUAUUGCUAAAAGUGUUAAAUCAAGCUUAUGUGACGAGUAAUGUAUCUGUAGAAAAGCUCGAUAGGUGGGUAAAUAACCUGAAUGUGGAUAAUUUCAUCUUUUUUAGUGAUGACGAAAUACCGCCGAAUGGUAGGGGCUCUGUAAAAACAUUACACAUCACAACCAGUUACAAGGGUUACAUAGUACCGAAUGUGCUCAUCGAUAACGGGUCUGCACUCAAUGUCACGCCUUUGGCCACACUUUCUAGGAUGCCAAUUGAUAUGUCUUAUCUAAGGCCUUGUCACUCCACAGUAAGGGCAUUUGAUUGGACACGACGAGAGGUUAUGGGAAAGAUCUAAAUUCCUCUAGAGGUGGGCCCAUGUGUAUCUGACAUCGAGUUUCAAGUUAUGGACAUCACGCCUUUAUACAAUUGCCUUUUAGGGAGGCCUUGGAUUCAUUCUGCUAGGGCAGUUCCUUCAUCUCUCCAUCAAAAAGUGAAGUUUAUCAUGGAUAGUCAUUUGAUUACUGUCACUGGUGAGGAAGACAUUGUCGCAUCUAUCUCUGUUGAUGCACCCUACAUCGAAGUAAGCAAUGAUACUGUGGAAUGUUCUUUUCGUUCCUUUAAAUUUAUCAAUUUCACAUUUAUUUUCGAAGGGAACAAGAUCCCCACACCCAAGUUGUUAAGGAACACCAAAAUAGGAAUUAAGUUAACUGUGGGAAAAAAAGCUCGAGCGAAGAAAAUUUUGGGAAGAUAUCAGCAAAGGAUAGCUAGAGCUUUGAAACCAGUACACCACAAGGUUCGAUGCGAUUUAGGGUUCGAGCCGGACGUAUGUUAGAAGAGAAAAAAAUUGCAGAAAAAUCAAAAAAGAAGAAUUGCAAGAACCUCAGGUCGAGAAUUGGAAUAGGAGCCAAUGACGUAUCCUCCUUUGUCAGAAACCUUCACAUCUGCGGGAAUGAUGUACCCGGGGUAAUACAAUCUACAAAGUGCAUUGUUAUUGAUUGAAAAGGGUCUUCAGAGUAUCAAUAUAGAAGUUGUUGACAAUGAGGAUGGUACAAUUGAGGAUGUUUCAAUGAUACACCUGUAUCCCCAAGGAUAUGUUUUGAACAAUUGGACUGCUGUGGAUCUCCUUGUAGUAUUUAAGUCCUCUCCAGAGUAAUGCUCAAUGUUAAUUCUCUAUUUUGUGUAUGUCCCUAAGUAGUAGGGUUCCUUUUGUAAGAGCUUAUGUUUGCUCUUUAUCAAUUCAAUGAACAUUAAUGAAGAUGCAUAUUGUCAUGAUCUUUGCAUUUCCAUUAGCUUCGUAAUUAUCCCCUCUUUUCAUAGCCUUUCCCUACAUGUACCUCAUAUCUUUUCAUAACAUUGUGUUUGUUGAUUCCAAUAUUUUGAUGCUUCUCUAUAGUUCUCUUGUUCCAUUCACCUUUCAGGUGCUUGGAUAUCAAUGGCAUGAAAAAUCCCGUUACAGAUCCUGAAAUCGAUUUUGAGAAGGCUGUUUGUUUAGGAGAAUUUGAAGUCGAGAAAAAUAUUGAAGAUUGUGUCUCGUAUCUUGACUUACUAAGAAUGGUAGAAUAGAAACAGAUCGUACCCCAUCAAGAAUCUAUUGAGAUAGUAAACUUGGGAAAUAAAGAAAAGAAACAAUAAGUGAAGAUUGAGACUUCCAUUUUAGAGAACACCAAACGAAAUUUGAUUACCUCACUUCAUGAGUACAAGGAUGUAUUUGCCUGGUCUUAUCAAGACAUGCCAAGGUUGAACGCAGAUAUUGUGGUCCAUAGGCUCCCAUUGAAACCAGAAUGCAAAACCGUUCAAUAGAAGCUAAGAAGGAUGAGACUUGAAAUGCUGUUAAAGAUAAAAAACAAGUCAAGAAACAAUUUGAUGUUGGCUUUCUACAAGUCUCUAAAUAUCUAGAAUGAGUAGCUAACAUAGUCCUAGUACCGAAGAAAGACAGCAAGGUGCGAAUGUGCGUGGAUUAUCAUGAUCUGAAUCGAGCAAGCCUUAAGGAUAAUUUUUCUUUGCCACACAUCGAUACAUUGAUGGAUAAUACGAUAAAACAUUCAUUUUUUCUUUCAUGGAUGGUUUCUCGGGUUAUAAUCAGAUAAAAAUGGCUCUCGAGGAUAUGGAGAAAACCACAUUCGUAACAGUGUAGGGAAUGUUUUGCUAUAAGGUGAUGCCAUUCCGAUUAAAGAAUGCUGGGGCAACAUAUUAGAGAGCUAUGGUGAUGUUGUUCCAUGACAUGAUGCACAAAGAAAUAGAAGUUUAUGUCGAUGAUAUAAUUGCCAAACCCUAGGAAGAAAAAGAACAUGUUGGGAAUCUCAAGAAGCUGUUCGAAAGAUUAAGAAAGUUCCAGUUGAAGCUUAACCCAGCCAAGUGUACGUUUGGGGCUACCUCGAGAAAACUGUUAGGUUUCAUUGUCAGUGAGAGAGGUAUUGAGGUUGAUCUAUAUAAGAUAAAAGUCAUACAAGAACUGCCACCUCCGCAUACACAAAAAGAAGUCAGAGGAUUUUUAGGAAGGUUGAAUUACAUUGCUCGAUUUAUUGCUCAACUUACCAACAAGUGUGACCCAAUUUUUCGACUCCUUCGAAAACAUAAUCCGGGAGAAUGGAAUGAGGAGUGCCAAAUGGCAUUCGACAAGAUAAAAUAGUAUUUGUCUAGUCCCUCGGUGCUAGUACCGCCGACCCCCGAAAAAUCUUUAAUAUUGUAUCUGACCGUGUUUGAAAACUCAAUGGGUUGCAUACUGGAGCAACAUGAUGAGUCGGGGAAAAGAGAAAAGACGAUUGACUACAUCAGCAAAAAAUUCACAGAGUAUGAGGCAAAGUACGCAUCAAUUGAAAAAUUCUGUUGUGGAUUAGUUUGGGUAGUUCGGAGGUUCAGACAAUACAUGUUGUAUCAUACAACAUGGCUAAUUUCAAAACUGGAUCCAAUAAAGUACAUGAUGGAAUCACUUGCACUCUUAGGGAGAAUGGCACGAUGGUCGAUCCUAUUAUCUGAAUAUGACAUCGCGUAUGUGAGCCAAAAGUCGAUAAAGGGAAGCGCAAUAGCUGGCUUCUUGGCAAGUCGAGCAAUGAGAGAAUACGAGCCUUUGAGAUUCGAUUUUCUGAAUGAAGACUUGAUGUGCAUUUCCAAAAAAGGAGGGUGAGCCAUCAAAAGAGAAAUCAUGGAAGAUGAGAUUUGAUGGUGCAUCGAAUGCAUUGGGGCAACAGUAUUAGUGUCACGGGAACGGAACCAUUAUCCGCUCAGUGCCAGAUUAAUUUUUUUCUGUACCAAUAACAUAGCGGAAUAUGAAGCUUGCAUCAUGGGACUUUGUACAGCUAUCGAACAAAAAAUUGAAAUUUUAGAGGUGUACGGGGACUCAGCAUUAGUGAUUUAUCAAAUCCGUGGAGAUUGGGAAGCGAGGGAUACGAAAUUAGUCAAAUAUCGUGAUCUUGUUACGGAACUGGUCAAAAAAUUCAAAGGAGUGACUUUUAACUACCCACAAGAAGAAAACCAAUUGGCUGACACCCUUGCCACCUUGGCUUCAAUGUUCAAAGCGAACAGAGAAACUGAAAUAAUGCCUCUUCAAAUGAGGAAAUAUGAUGUCUCCGUACAUUGUUUGAGCAUUGAGAAAGAGUUAGAUAGACGACCAUGGUUUCAUGAUAUCUUGGAGUAUAUCAAGAAUUAAAGGUAUCCCGAGCAAGCAAACGAGAAUGACAAAAGAACAAUUAGGAGAAUGGCGAUUGAAUUUGUUCUUGAUAGGGAUGUUCUAUACAAAAGAGGAAAAGAUCAAAUGCUCCUGAGAUGCAUGGACGCUGUUGAAGCCAUAAGAAUACUUGAAGAUGUCCAUGAAGGAAUUUAUGGAACGUAUGCCAAUGGUUUCAUUAUGGCUAGGUAGAUUAUGAGACUUGGUUAUUAUUGGCUGACGUUGGAAAUGGACUACAUUAAUUACGCAUGAAAGUGUCACAAGUGUCAAAUUUACGGCGAUAAAAUUCAUGUAGCUCCUUCUCCCCUUCAUGUCAUGACUUCUCCGUGGAAUUUUUCUAUGUGGGGCAUGGAUGUUAUAGGGCCAAUUUCCCCGAAAGCUUCUAAUGGGCAUCGAUUUAUCUUUAUUGUUAUAGAUUAUUUCACAAAAUUGGUAGAAGCCACUUUGUUUGCUAAUAUGACGAAGACCGCAGUCUGCAAGUUCCUAAAAAAGAGAUCAUAUGCCGAUAUGGUUUGCCUGAGAGAAUCAUUUUAGAUAAUAUUUUUUAUUUGAACAAAAAGAUGAUUAAAGAAGUGUGUGAGCAAUUUUAGAUAAAGCAUCAUAAUUCCUCACCAUAUCGCUUAAAAAUGAAUGGAGCAGUGGAAGCAGCUAACAAAAACAUUAAGAGAAUUAUCUGGAAGAUAACUGAGACAUAUAAAGAUUGGUGCGCCCCAAGGGGAGAAACUCAGUCGCGCGAAACCCUUAUUUGUCAAUUCUUGCAAUUGAGCUUUCAAUUCCUUUAGUUCUGUAGGUGCCAUUCUAUAUGGAGCUAUGGAUAUCGGAGUCGUCCCUGGUACUAACUCAAUCCCAAAAUCUACCUCUCUAAUCGGCGGGAACCCUGACAACUCUUCUGCAAACACAUCCGGAUAUUCACACACAACUGGUACUGAUUCAGUCUUCUUGUCAGUCACUUUACUAUCAAUCAUAUACAACGCAAGCUUGAAAACCCUUUCUCACAUAAUUCUGAGCUAACAUCGAAGAUAUCACUGCUAAUAAACCAUUCAAAUCAUUUAAUUCAACCCAAAUAAUCUUAUUAUUCUGACAUCUCAAAUCAAUAGUCUUCCUUUUACAAUUUACCACAGCAUUAUGUAAAGUUAACCAGUCCAUUCCCAAAAUAAUAUCAAACUCGUUGAAUGGCAACAACAUCAAAUCAUCCGAAAAACAUGAAUCUCGAAUCAUCAACGGAUAAUUCUUACACACUUUGUCAACCAAAACACACCGACCUAGGGGGUUUGAUACUCUAAUGACAAACUCAGUAGACUCAACAGGCAGAGUCUUACUGGAUACUAAAGUCUCACACACAUAUGAAUGAGUUGAACCAUGAUCAAUCAAUGCAAUAACAUUAGUAUCAUAAAGAGUGAAAGUACCAGUAAUAACAUCAGGGGAAGAAGCCUCCUCUCAAGCACAAAUGGCAUAUGCUCUAGAAGGUGUACGAGCCUCAGAUUGAACUGUCGUGUCCUUUGUCUCUCUCUGACUACCACUUACAUUACCUGUAUGCCUGGGUGGUCUACCUAGUACUGGCACAUUACUCGAUCUGGUAUUCUGUACUGUUUUUUUCUCGGCCACCAUCGGACACUCUCGAAUAAAAUGAUCAUUUGAUCCACACUUAAAGCGAGAAUGAUCAUGCAAUCUGCAAUCUCCUAGAUGCCAUUUACCACAAUGCUUGCACUCAGAUCUAUUUUGUUGGACAUUACCAACACUAGCAACUGAAGUAGCUCGUGAACUCAUAGGAGGUCGAUCUCGAUCUCGUCUAGAAAAUCCUGUAGUAGCUUUAGAUCGGCUGUGAUCUUCUCUGAAUUUCUUUGAAGUAGACUGAAAUAAUUUACUGAAUGUUCUUUUACGAAAAUCUCUAGCUUCAAAGUCAGCCUUUGUCUUCUCUCUCCCGAGUUCUUCGGCUUUACAAGCUCGUUCAAAAAGUACCACAAACUCUUUUAUUUCAAGUACACCAACUAACAGUUUAAUAUCUUCAUUCAGCCCAUCUUCAAAUCUCUUACACAUAACAGCUUCAGUCGCCACACACUCUCAGACAUAUCUACUAAGUCGCACAAAUUCUCGCUCAUAUUCAGUAACAGUCAUACAACCCUGUUUAAGUUCAAGAAAUUCUUUACGUUUCUAACCAAUGAAUCUCUGACUGAUAUAUUUCUUGCGAAACUCGGUCUGAAUGAAUUCCCAAGUGACCCGCUCUUUCAGUACAACAGACACUAGAGUAUUCCACCAAUGGUAGGCAGAGUCAUGUAACAAGGAUAUGUCACAUUUCAAACACUCGUCGGACGUACAUGACAAUUAUUCGAAUACACGGAUAGUGUUAUCGAGCCAAAAUUUAGCCCGCUCAGCAUCAUCAUUAAUUGUGGCCCUGAAUUUUUCGGUCCCGUAUUUUCUAAUAUUAUCAACAGGGAGCAUACUUAACCUCAUCGGAUCAAUCAUCAGAGGUAUCACAAGUAUCGAAGACGGAUUAUUCUGAGGUGGGGGUUGUUGCACAACUGGAUUAGUUCGAAUAUAUUGUGUAAACCAAUCAUUCGUCAUCUGGUAGAAGGCUUGCUUUGCCUCUCCCUCUUGGCUACGAGAGGUAGGCCAGGAGUUAACUAGUACUGCCUCAUGGGUAGGAGCAGGUGCUAUACUUUCAACGUCAUUAGCUACAGCUCGAUUGGGAUCCAUUACUAUACGAAAACAUAUUUUUAGAUGUCAAAAGUCAUCACACUAUCGGAAUAUAAAAUAUGGCAUGUACAACUAGACUUACACACGCUAUGUUAGUCCUAGAAUCGGCUAAAUCGUAGCUCUGAUACCAAUAAAAUGUAACACCCCUAACCCGUAUCCGUCGCCGAAUUAGGGUUAAAAGGCAUUACUAAUCAAAAUACAACUCAAAACAGACAUUCAUUAAAGUUCAAUAAUUAUAGUAGUUACAUUAGAUAAGCUAGGUUUAAUAUUAAACAUGCGAAAUUUUAAGCUUUUCUUUUAGUCAUUUAAAACAAAACGAAAACAUUACAAUCCAACUAGACUUUAAGGAAAUAAGCCAUUUUCGCUGGCUAUGAAACUCAUUUACAAAACAUUAAAGUACGCUCUUAUAACAUUAUCUAGCCUAUACAUGCCCUAAGUUAAAAUUCAAACAUUUUAAUACCGAGACAGUAGAUAGAGUGAUGAUCUUUGCUGACAAUCCCCGAGCUUGAAGCUUGAUCUUUAAAUCUAUAAAAUAGAGAGACGUAAAAGAACAAGGUAAGCUUAUUUAGCUUAGUAAGUCUAUGGCAUAACUAAAAUAACACAUAAAUAAAACACAUAAAUAUCUUAUAAUUUCCUGAUUACAUUCAUAGAUGUCACAAAUACCACAUAUUUUACUAAUUGAAUAUUUAAAAUACAUAGUCAUCUUAUUUAUAUAAAAUAUAUAUAAUCGUAGAAUGCUUACCAAUGAGUAUAUAUAUACUCUAUAUACAUACAACCAAUUGUAUGUUUAAAUACUCAUCAGGAACUUACAACCAAAUACAUGAACUUAUCACUUACUUAAAAUCAAUUACAUACAUUACUAUUAAUACUUAGAGUCGAAUACACCUACACUUCAAAUGCAUAUAAUCGAACGCGUAUUUAUACAUAUUUACUCAACAAUUAUUAUAACCGAAUAUACAUAUGUAUAUUUGUACAUCAAACUAAUAUAAUAGAGCACAUUUAUACUUACCCAAAAUGCAUAUCACCAAUCAUAUAGAUGCUUAAUAAAAGCAUAUACAUAAUGCAAAUAUAAAUUUAUCACAUGCAUAUAUGUGAAUGUGCAUAUAUCUAUCAAGUGCUUAAAAUUGUAUAUACAUAUAUACAUACUCAUCAGAUAUGUAUAAACGAAUGUUUGUAUGUUCAUCAAAUAUGAAGACCGAAUAUGUAUCAUAUUCUUGAAUUUCAUACCACCAAAUCCAUAUACACAUUCAGUACAUGUAUAUACAUAAUAUAAACAAUAUCACCGGCAGUUAGCCUGCUAGACAUAAAGUCUGGUAUGUUUCACCAGCAUCAAGCCUGCUAGACGUAAUGUCUGGUAUGUUUCAACAACAUCAAGCCUGCUAGACAUAAUGUCUAGUAUGUUUCACCGGCAUCAAGCCUGCUAGACGUAAUGUCUGGUUUACUUCACUCUCAAUAAACCUGUUAGGCUCGGAGCCUAAAAUUUCAAUUUCACAUAUACAAAUAAUUCCUCAUAUCAUUCAUAAUAACAAUCACAUGUUCAUUAUAUACCAUAUUCAAAUCGUAACAGAGUUUACCAAUCAUACCUUCAAUUCAACUCAAGUGCUUAUAAAUUCAUAAACAUAUAUAUAUACACGUAUAUAUAUAAAGUCGAACCUCAAUCAUAAAAAGAGAUAAAUUUUAUACCUUUAAUUCUAUCCAAGAACCAAUACAUAAAUAUACAUAUAUAUAUUCGAAUCCCAUGAAUAUAUUUAACAUUUAUACCAUUAACUAAAAUCAACAACCCAUACAUGUAUAUACAUUUAUAUUCGAACAUAAAUGUAUUUAUUUACACAAUUUUUACCUUUAACUAGGUUCAAAACUUAUUCAUAUAUAUAUAAUUAAAUCUAUCACAUACAUAUAUAUAAUUGCAUACAUAAGUUCAAUAUAAAAACAUAUACAUAUAUAUAAUCUCAUACAUAUUUAAAACUUACAUAUGAAUAUAUAUUCGAAACUUUGUUUCAAAAAAAAAAAGAAUAUAUAUUCGAAACUACUUAAACAAUUAUAAAAUGCAUACCUUUAAUCAACCCAAAAGCUUAUACAUGUAUAUUCUUAUAUAUAUAUUCGAAUCUUAUAUAUAUAAUAUACAUAUCUUUGAUUAAACCUAGAAUAUAUAAAUAUAUAUACUCAUAUUUGUUCGAACCUUGUGCACACAUAUAACUCUCAUACAUUCAAUUAAAUUCAUCACAAAUAUAUAUAGAUUCAUAUAUAAAUAUUCGAACAUUGUAUAUAUAUACCUAUAAACCCUUUCUUACUUUAACUAAAUUCAAAGAUCUAUAUAAGUAUAUACCUAUAUAUUCAAAUAUUUUAUAUACACAUAUAUACCAUUUAUACUUCAAAUUUAUUCAAUCGAAUUACUUUUAAUUAUAGCUCAACAAAAAAUAAAAUAGAUAUACAUACAUAUAUACUGAAAUAAUAACAUUAAAUAACUAAUAGACUUACCUCGGACAGUGAAAAAUGAAACCGGAUGAUUAGUUGACGACUUUAGCUUUUCCCCGAUCCAACUCCGAUUUCUUUGGUUCUUAAUCUAAAUAUAUUAAAAAUGAACUAGUAUAAAUAUUAUUUCAUUCAAUUUAGUCCAAAAAUACAUAAAUGAAAAAUUACCAUUUUGCCCCUAACAUUUACGCUUUUUGCAAUUUAGUCCCUAUUGCAUAAAACGCAAAAUACACAAAAAUUGCCCACACUAUAGAAGGGCUGAGUAUCCCUAGUGCUCAUACAAGUUCACAUAUUUCAUUUAUUUCACAUUUUAGUCCCUCAAAAAUUUAAUUUCACAAUUUAGCCCUAAUUACUCAAUUUCACCAAAAAUUCAAAUACAAAACAUGUUAAUCUUUCACAUAUCUUUCAUAUUUCAUCAUUAACUAACAAAAAUCUCAAGCUUUCGUCAAUGGCAUAUCACAAAAUUAACAACAAAUUCUAAAAUUAAGGUAUGGGUCUUGUAGUACCCAAAGCAACGAUCUCAAAAACAUAAAAAUUUUCAAAAACCGAACAAAAAAGAACCUUUAAUUAUGCAAAGACAUGGCCGAACCUUCUUCAAGCUUUAAUGGCUUUUCUUUCAUCUAAAUUUCGGCUAGGAAGAUGAUAUAUGCUAUAAAAUUAUGUUUUUAACUAUUAUGUAUUAUAAUAAUUAAUAAUUUACUAAUUUAACCUUAUUAAAAUAAUUAUAACAUAUAUAUAUUAAGGUUAGUUUUGACCUUAGCCACCCACUAUCUAAAUAGUGGUCAAAUUGCAGCUUUAAACCUCCUAAUUUAAAAGACAACAACAAUUAGAUGCUUUUAAAUUAAAUCCCUAAGUUUUCAUUUUAUGCGAUUAAGCCCUUUUUAUCAAAUUGAGCACACAAAUGAUCAAAUUUUUAUACGAAAUUUUCACACAUAUUAAUUCACAUACUGCAAAUACCAAAAAUAAUUUUAAAAUAUUUUUUGACUCAAAUUUAUGGUCCCGAAACAACUUUAUCCAAUUAGGGUCAAAAUUAGGCUGUUACAAUGACAUACUAUAAACAAAAGGAAUGUUGAGCAUUACUCGGAUGAGAAUUUGAUAAGUACAGGGGCCUCGAAGUAAGGACAAAGUUCAAUGGGGGGCAAGACGGCAAUAUACAAAGAAAUGUGGGUUAAUCACAAGAACUUGAGGAAGGGUACAAAAUCUAAAAGAAAAGUCAAGGGUUGAGGAAAUAAUAGAGAAGAAUGUGAGCCCUCACGAAAACCAUGACCAAAAAAAAUAAGAACAAAAAAAAAGAGAAAAAAAUUUGGGGCAUAUGACAAACAGCCCAAGUGCACGACAUGAUCAUGUAGGCAUAAAAUCAGUUAGGACAAACACGUGCAUAUCAUAAUAACAUCAUACAUGACAUAUAUAGGUAUUCCAAUAGAGCAAGAGAUUUUGGUGGCAGCUGCACUGAAUCAAUGAAAAAGAAGGCUUUCGAGUUUCACCUAACAAUCUUUUUCGAAAUUCUGAUUCUCUCAAGAAUCAUUUCUUUUUCUAUUUUUUAAAAAAUCAACUCAUAAUCCGAUAGGUGAGUGGAGCAUCGGGUCGCACGCCGAGGUAUUUUCAAUUUCUGUUUUUCAAAUAUCACCUCAUAAUCCGAGAGGUGAGUUGAGCCUCGAGUCGCACGCUGAGGUGUUUUUCAAUUUCUAUUUUUCAAAGAUCAAAUCAUAAUCUGAGAGGUGAGUGGAGCCUCGGGUCGCACGCCGAGGUAUUUUUCAAUUUCUGUUUUUCAAAGAUCAACUCAUAAUCCGAGAGGUGAGUUGAGCCUCGGGUCGCACACCGAGGUAUUUUUCAAUUUCUAUUUUUCAAAUAUCAACUCAUAAUCCGAGAGGCGAGUUAAGCCUUGCGUCGCACGCCGAGGUAUUUUUUAAUUUCUAUUUUUCAAAGAUCAACUCAUAAUCCGAGAGGUGAGUUGAGCCUCGAGUCGCACGCCGAGGUAUUUUUCAAUUUCUAUUUUUCAAAGAUUAACUCAUAAUCUGAGAGGUGAUAUGAGCUUUAGGCCGCACACCGAGGUAUUUUAAAUUUCAGUCAUUUAUUUGUUUUCAAAAUUUUAGCUCUGCCCAAAUCCAUUUCAGUUUUUUUAUUGCUCGCUGAUGUAUUUUAAUGUCCAGUUUGUUGUCAAGUGGAUGUUUUUUCGAAGUAAUCGUUACUUUCAAAAAUUGCAUCGUGAGUCAAGUUCUUUUUACAAAAUAAAAGAGAGAAAAAUCAGACAAUUGAACAAAAUUCAGUGCUUUUAAGUCUUUACUCUAUCCUUGUUUCAUAACGAUGAGCAAAGAGGGGUAGCUGUAAUCAUUGAAUUUUGUCCGGUUCGGAUCUCGUGUUUUAAUUUUUAUUUCCAAGUUACAGGUUUGGAUAAUUUGAGCUUGUUAUCUAUGGAUUUAGGGUUUGGGAUUGUCUCAUAUGGGCCCAAUGAUUAGGCCUGUUGUGAUUGGAUAAUUGGGCUUAUACUAAUCUAAUUUUGGACUUGUUUGAGCUUUAGCCUAUUAGUGUUUUUAGUUUUUUAUGUUAUAUUAAUUUUAAAAAGGAAUAAUAAUAAAAUAACAAUAAAAAAGGAAAAUCAGAAAAAUACAAAAAUAUACUAAUUACAUUUUGCCCCCUACUUUUUACUAUUUACAUUUUAGCCCCUAAAUUUUUCUAAAAUUACAUUUUAGCCCCGAGAUUUUUGCCUCUUCUAAAAUCCAGUCCUUGGGGCACAUCAUGUCAGAUUGUCCUCUAGCAGCCGCCUGGCGCAUUUCACGCACCUACCCUCAGCUAUUUCUGGCGGCUGGCCUAGGUUCCUGAUGGCCCCUCAACUGCUACCUAAAACAGAGAAGAAAGAAGAAAAAUCAGCAACAAUAAAAAGCAAAAAAAAAAAGAAAAAGAAAGGGGGUUUUUUCCAUCAGCGAAAAAAUAAGAAAAAAAAAAACGAAAAAGCUUCAAAAACAGAAGCCAACAUCACCACCGAUUGGAGGCCCUUAAACCUAAAUCCACCCUCACCGACUCGUUGUCUUCCAUUGCUGCACAACGUUAACCAACCUCCAUUUAGCCUCUCCCUCAAUCCCUUGCACCCCUCAAACUCGAGACCACCAGCCGAGCCCCUCAUCACUCCCACGGCUUUUCUACCUUCCUCACCCACCAUCACCGAGACCAAAGAAAAACCCAAAUCAAGCACAACAAUCACAAAGGCCGUAGCUAAACCGAAACCCAAACAAAAAUAGUAACCAAAAAAAUAAAAUAGAUAGAAAGAAGACUUAUCUUCAAGAGAGAACGCACGCAACAGCCAAAUCGUCGGGCAAAGGAAUCGAUGGCUGCAAGGGGUAGAAGAAAAGGCUAGGGCUAGAGAAAAAAUAGAAGAAGAAGAAAAAAAAAGAAAGAAAAAGAAAAAAUAAAAUAAAAAAGAACAGUCGGGUUCGACCCGACCCGUUUCACUGAACCUGUACUACCGACCCAAUACCAGCAGACCAACGACCUAGCAGGCUCAGCAGGCCCAAUACCAGCAGACCUAGUAGGCCCAGCAGCCCAGAUCCAACAAUAGCAGGCCCAAUACCGCCAAUAGCAGACCAAACACCAAAGGCAGUCCAAAGCGAAAAAAGAAAAGAGGCCCAUUUUGCCUCGGAUCAAGCCCAUAAAUUUGGGGAUUUUGGUAAAUUUUUAAUCCACUUUUAAUUUAGUCCAUGUAUUUUGAUGACAUUUUUAAAUAGUUGUUUUUAGAAAUAUCAUUAUGUUCACUUUAUUUGCAAUUUUAAAAUUAAAAUCGUUUUAAUAUAUAAGGCAACGAAUCAGUUUAACAUUAAACCAUUGAUUUCAUUGCUACGUUGGGUGGAUAUAAUGGAUUUUUGUUAAAUACGGGAUGCCUUCUAAAAAUUGAGAAAUUAAAAAAUUCUCGCAUUUUCAAAUCAAAUCUUUAUUUUUGUAAUUAUUCAUUAAUUAUCAACUCAUUUUAAAAAUUAUAUAAUAUAAUAAUAUGUAAUUUAUCAAAAUUCUUAAUCGGAUCACAAUUAAAUAUUAAAUUGAACUUGUAUUUUUCAAAAAUUAAGACAACACGCGCUUAACGAGAUAUCAAUUUUGAGCGUCAUGAGGGUGCUAAUAUUUUCCUCGUGCGUAACCGACUCUCGAACUCUAAUUUUUCUCUGGAUUUUGGAUUUUGACGUAGACCUAAAGCCAACUCUUUGUAAAUGAAUUUUAAAAAUGAUUGUUCUUUUAAAAAGAGAAUUUAAUGGGUGUCUGAUCACACCUAGAAAAAUGAUCAGUGGGGGCUCCUCUUUUUUAAGUAAAAUUGAGACUUUUAUCCAAAUUUUUAAUAACCAUCAAGAUAAAAUUUCCUUUCGUAAUGACUUCGACUAACGCUUGCAAAAAUUUUAGGUCAUUAUAGUAAGAGGUUAAUAUUUUCUUUUUAUUAAUAUUGGUAUUUACAUAACAUUUUUAAAUUUAAAUUUAUUUAUAUUUUUAUAAAAAUAUUCAACUAUUAUUAUUUGAAUUCAAAUUUUUAAAAAAUAUUUGUAGAUAUUCAAAUACAAAUUAAGAAGUCAAGUUCAUUUUAUAGAAUUCUUACUCAUAUAAAUAAAUGGAUAAUGAAUUUAAAUACAAAAAUUUUAAUCCAUUAUUUAAAAAAUGAACUAAAAUAUGUAUUUUAAAACUAGUUACUGAUUAAUUAAUUAUAAAAAUAAUGAUUAAUUGGAGGUAUUGAAUUUAGCUAAAUAUAUAUUUUUUAGUUUUGGAUUUGAAUAAUUUCAUUUCAGUUACCUUAAUUCUAAAAUAUAAACGAAUAUGAGGAGGAAUUUUAGGAUUUUUAUUUAUUUAUUUUCAAAAUAGAAUUGUAAAAUUAUUUGAUAAAAUGUGUGUUUAGGGUUUAAGUUUUUAUGUAAAUAUCUUUUAUUAAAACUCGAUAUCCUUACAUAUCAAUGUUAAAUUUAUUUUUUAAAAAUUCUUAAUUAUAAGACAUUACUUUCUAAGUUGCAAGAUGAAAUCUAGUACAAAUUAAUCAAAAAUUGGGUCAAGGCCAAAUUUUAUUAAAAUAAUAUAAAAUUUUAAUUACGAAAAUGAUAUUGUUAUAGAUUAUUUAUGAAAAUAUGAUGUUUUUUUACGUUGUUUUUAGGUGCGAUCAAUAUGUUAAGUGGCACCACUUUAAAUUCUAUACACUCAUUUGCCAAUAAUUAGGAGAUAUUUUUUCAAAGUGGUGCCGCCAAUGUGUUGGGAAGUACCUUCACACAUUGGUGGCAGAUGAGUGUAGGGAAUUUAGGGUAGUGCCGCUUGACAAGUUUAUGACACCCAAUUACACGGUAAAAAAAAUCCAUUUUUAUAAUUAAUCUAUAAUUUAUAUCAUUUUCGUAAUUAUUUUAAUAAAAAAACCCUCUGAAAGAGCUUCAAUGGGUACGGUGAAAUGUGAUAUGACUAGAAAUUCGGAUGGUAGAUUUUAAGAAUUACAGCUUUCAUUGUUUGCACACAAUAUCGGCAUAAUUACAGCUGGGUUCCCUGGAGAUUAUGGAGCCUUGUCAUGUUAUAGGAACUAUGGAUUUAAUACUUUUCGUAACAAACUGCUGGCUUCUGAUUAAGAUAGAAAGAAUGUCCCAAGCUUCUUAUAUUGUCAAAACUAUAGAAUCUUAAUCAAUGCAGUUAUUUGCCAUUUUAUUACCCAAAACAGAGGGAAAAGAAAGCACAAGUAAUAAGACACCAAAAUUAUGAAGAUUGGAAGGAAGAAGAGAGAAAACAAGUUAAGGAGCUUAAUAUAUGCUAAUAAACACUUCACACCAUAUCAUAUAUCAGACCAGAAGAAUACCAUUUACAAAAAAAGAGAUAAUUUUAUCUUUAGCAAGCAGUUCAUACUUUCUAGUUCCAAAUUCCAUAGAUUUUGACUCUUUUUGGUUUCAGCCCUUCAGUAAUGGGUGGAUCAGUACUGAAAGAUAUCUGCAGAGGCCACAAUUGGUUGGUUAAGAGUAAAAUUGGUGAAACUAUCAGCACUUGUUUCAAAGGGUUCAGUUUCAUAAACCCAAAUCCCAUUGUUUAGUGUGGGAUCAUUAAGAUAAUUGAGGAUAUGAUUUAGAGAAUCCAAUCUUUGGCUUAGUUCCAUAAACUGGGCCCUCAAAACAGAGUUCUCAGCUUCAAUGUUGAAGUAAUGAUGGGUGAUGAAAUUGAUGCUUGUUAAGAUUUGAUUAUUAUCUUUCCUUAGGAGUGUGAGUUGAGCCAUUAAAUCAUCCAGAUACUUCUGUUUUCUCAUCCUGGAUCUUCUUGCUGAUUCCCUGUUUGAUUCCAUCCUCUUUCUUUUCCUUUCAUCCAUCAACUGAUGCAGAUCCUCUUCGGAGCCUGAAAUCUGAAGCAGAGUCGAACCUGAAGAAUUGGAAUUCCCACUGGACGAUGCCAUGUUGAUGUAUGUACACUAAAAUCACUGAUAGAAAGACGACGACAGGACCCAGAUACUAACUACGUGUAGCUAAUGCAACGUUUUCUUAUAUAUUGGGUUUAUUAUCUAAAGGAAAUGAAAGUCAAGCAAUUACAGAGAAUUUAUUUAUGAAAAACAUAGAACCAGUGGAGGAAGACAACUGAGAAAGAUUGAACAAGAUGGGUCCUGCGUCUGAGUGAGGAAUUUAUCAUAAACCCCGAUCGGAGGAUUUCACUCACAACUGGAGACAUGAAUCUCAAAACGAUUUGAAAAACAUAUCAAAACGAUUUGAAAGAAACACAGCUGAAAAAAUUAGUGAACCGAAACCAGCAGAACGUUAGCUCUACAAGGGAAAAUGAAAAACAGGAAGAGAGCAGAAAUUGACUAAACUCUAUUAGGGGGGAAGAGAGUAAAACUGGAAGAGGUUUUUGAGAGAUUUGGCAAGGCAAUUUAUAGCCCAAAAGCAUGCCAAUCUAUUGUAGCAACCUAGUCUAAUAUUACACCUUCUAGUUAUUUAAACUCAUAAUUGCUAUAAAAAGACACAUAAUUGAACAAGAUUAAAAAAAAUGAUAAAAAGAUAAUUUUUUUGAAUAAUCUCAUUAUAAGUUCCGCUUAUAUAUGCUCUUUUUAAGAUAAUGUCUAAAACUUCUCAUAAUCUCUCUCCAACCCAUAAAUAGGAGGAUAACGUGCUUCAGUGCACUCAACCCCAUAUCUUACUGCAUUAACAACAAUACACAUGCCAGUCGAGAUAAGACUCAAUCGACUUUUUUAAUAAUUUUAUAUUAGCUAAAUAGAGAUUUUGUUGGAUCUAUGGAGCUGUCAUCAAAUUUUGUGUGAGACAAGUUCAAAUCCUGUAACUCCUCAACUUUUAAUAUUAUAUAAAAAUGUUAUUCUAUUUAUGGAUAAUUUUUAUUUUUUAUGUUAUGAAAAUAAAUAUUUUAUAUUAAAAAUAGAGAAAAUAAAUUAAAAUUACUCUAUAAUUAAUUAUUUUUUAAGAAAUUAUAUAAAAAUUAUCGAUUAUUUUUAUUUAUUUGAAAAAUUAGUUAUGAAAAAUUUCAUAAAAAAUAUUGAAAAAGAUCAUUUUAUCAAAAUAAAAAUUAAAACUUCAUAACCCAAAAUUCAUAUGCAAAACCAAAAAUUGCACUGAAUUAUCACCGACGACUUAAAAAAUUCAAAAAAUGUAACCGGACCUUCAGCCCUAAAACAUGUAACUAUUGUUAUGAGAAGAGAGUAAAAACAAGUCAAUUUGGUCCCCCCUAAUCUUUGCUGUAAUAUAUGAAUUGAUAAAAACAUAAAAUUUUCCAUGUAAAUGCUAUCACGUAUAGUUAAAAUAUUUUAAUUCAUGUUGUUUAAAUAUAUAGUUCAAAAAUCUAAAUUUUGUUUAAUUAUUUUCUAUUUAAUAAGAAUAAUAGUGCGUCAUAAAAAUAUAAAAUUUUAUACUCAAAUUUCAGUCGUGCAACUUGUUAUACCCUUAACUCGAUUUAAACACGUGGCAACAUGAGAAGCGGUCAGAAAGACACAUACUGAUGCCCCCCACCUUAUAUCAUCCGGAUGAUUAUUGAGUGAUCAACCACCCAUUAUCCGUAUGGUUGGACCCUUCAUUAUGCCUUCCACUAAUAGCGGGUGUGUUCUCCUCAAGAGGGAACCAUUGAAUAAUGAAAUUGAAUAGGAACCCUCUAUAAAUACCUCAAAGAACAACAUAGAAAGGGGUCUCUUCUUUCUUCUCAACAAACCCUAACAACCCAAGCUCUCAUCCCCUUCCUCUUUAGUCUCCUAUUUUUUUUUUUUGACUCUCAAUCCAACAAGAGUGAACCACUUUUCUUGUGCCACCUCCUUCUCUUUCUUUAUUGAUAUUUGUAUCAACACAACUAUUUUUCUUAUCUUAAAUUAUGGGUUAGCAAAAGAAAUAAAAAUGAUGGUUAAACAAGAAUAGGUUAGGAAUAUUCCAUCUCAUAAAUAAAACUACUUUGGGGUCUAAUUGAUCAACCAUGUUUUCCCUUUGUGCUAGUAAAGUUGAGGGAGUCUAUGUCAUUGAAAAUGACAACAACCAGUCACAUAUGCUUUGCUUUAUAGCUCCAUAAAAGAAUUCAACAAAUCAAAGUUAAUUUAUCUGUUCCAAAUGUUUACCCUAAUAAAGUCAUGAAAUGGGAAGGAAGCAUGAAAGUUGUCCAUAUGCUUACCUUGUUUUCAACCCAUGAUAAUGCCAACCCCACUAACCCAACCCAAAUCCACACAAUCUCCCUCCUCUCCCCUCUCUCUCUAUAAAACUUGGGUGAAUUUAGAUUUUUUUUUUAAAAUUUUAGGUUGAUUUUAUUUUUCAUGUUCGACGAUUUUUAUGUCUUUCUCAAUAAUGUUAUUUUUAAAAUUUGAAUUUGUAUUUUUUUGGAGUGCAAUACAUCUUAUCACUAUACCCAACAUUUAUAUUACAACGUUGAAAUAAAAAUAAAAAUUCUAAUCAAAACAUACAUGCAUUACAAACUUUAAUAAAAUUAUAGUUUUUUUCUUUAAAAAGAUUAAAAGAGUAAUUUAACCAUAUGAACUAAAAAGAUAAAAUCCUUACAAAUUAUAAAUAGAAUUAAAAAAAUAUCAUUAUGACUACAUAUUUGUAUAUUAGAUAAAAAAUUAUUAUAAAAACCAAUUAUGAAAAACGUCCGAAACUAAUUUAUAAAUCAUGAUUAUUUCCAAAGAGAUUUUGGAUAUAAAGAUAUGAUUUUUUAUUGUUAGUUAAAAGUAACGAUAAUAAAGAAGCAAAAAUGAUGAAACUUUGUGUGAAAGAGUGAAAGGUUUUGUGGAGUUUUGUCUGACCUAAUACCUUGUUUGGAGGAGGAUGAGUGAGACAUGACCUUUUCAUACUACCAUCCAUUUACCGACAACUCUCUGAAUUUUGACGAAACAUGUGCUUCUACACCCUAUUUGCUGAUCAAAUAUUGUUUGUUAUACAAGUUGUGAACGUCAUAUCAUUUUAAAAUUAUAAUAUUUAUUUUCACUCUAUUUUAUUUAAAGGAAAUUUUGUAGAGUAAUAGUGUUUUUAUUUUAAUCCCACAAUUAUUUUAUAAUGGUUAUAAAAUAAAGAGAGAUAGAGAGAAUAAAGAACAAAAAAAUAUGAAAGUAAUAGAGAAUGUACUUUAUUGAUCAAAGGGAUGAUUACAAUGCUUCAUUAGAGUCUCUAUUUAUAGGCAUAAGAAGUAUAAAAGAAAUAGAGAUCUAAUUAUCAAAACUUUAUCUUGAUCAUGAUGAAUAUCCACUUAAUAAGAUAUUUAUAACACUCCCUUCGGAUGUCCAUUAGUAGAUAAUGUGCCUCGUUAAAACCUUAUUAGGAAAAACCCUGUGGGAUAAAAACCUAAUGAAUGAAAAAGAGUACACAAUCUUCUAUUACAAGCUACAUCGUUAAAAACCUUUACCAGGAAAACCCAAUGGGACAAAACCUUGGUUAAAGGAAAAGAGUACAAAUUAUUUUUAGACUCCCCCUGAUGGCAACAUUACAUUACAUCUUUGAGUCGACACAUUCUAAUCUUGUGUAGUAGUCUUUCAAAUGUUGAAGUUGGCAAUGCCUUCGUAAAAAGAUCUGCUAAAUUCUCAUUAGAACGAAUUUGUUGAACAUUAAUGUAACCUAUUUUCUCAAGAUCAUGGGUGAAGAAUAAUUUUGGUGAAAUAUGUUUCGUUCUGUCACCUUUGAUAUAACCAACCCUUCAAUUAAGCUAUACAUGUUGCAUUAUCUUCGUAUAAGAUAGUUGGCAUCUUUUCCUGUAAAGGUAAAUUACUUAUCUUUUGGAUAUGCUGGGUCAAUAACCUUAGUCAAACACAUUCUCGACUUGCCUCAUGCAUUCUAAUUAUUUCUGCAUGAUUUGAAGAAGUGAUAAGCUGUAAAAAUAACAUAUUUUAAUCACAUUAUUAAUGCAUUUUUGGAUGAUUAAUGAUGUAAAUUCGUGAAUUUGAUGCUCCUAAUCCUUUAAAUUCAUGUUCCUAUACUUAGGUGAGCAUAGGUGAGCGAAAGGAGCGAAAAAUAAGCCAAAAUCGGGUAAAAAGAGUUGUUUUCAGCAUCCACAUGACCUGAGUAUUUCCACAUGGGCUAGCCACACACCCGUGUGCCAGCUCGUGUCGAUUUCAUGCCCUAAUUCCCAAAAACGAGAAAAAAACUCAAUUUUUAGGCUUUUUGAGCAUUCUAAAGUCUAUAAAUAUCAAUUAAAAGAAGAUCUAAGGGGGCACGCAGAGAAGAUUGAAGAAAUUACUCGAAGAACACCAUCAGAGCCAACUCAGAAGCGGAUCUCCUUCAAGAUUGAAGAUCUCCUUUUAACUUCAUCCGAAGUUUAUUUGAAUUUCUUUAUGUCUUGUAGUUUUUCUGACUUUGAGAUGUUUUCUUUUCAGAUUAUGAACUAAAUCCCCUAUAUACCUAGAGAAGAUGAAACAUAUGAUGAAUCUUAUUAUUUGAUUUCUGAAUUACAUGAUAAUACUUGAUUCUUGUUCUCAAUUAUGUAUAUUUAUUUCGUGCUUUAAUAUUUUAGGGAUAUUAAUUCAUGUUUAAUGUUCUUAUUUCAGUGGAGCAAAAGUCCUUGUUUAAGAGUAGAUCUAGCAUAAUUGGGUGGAGUUGUAUGCAAUCCUAGAAAUAUGAUGAUAUAAAUCUACCGGAUUAGAGUCAAAUCUAAUAGGGGAAUCCAUAGAUCGAGUUAAUGCGACAAUAAGGGUUUUAAUUAGAAAGAGAUUUCGAUUAAUCAAACUAGAGUCAGUUGUUUUUACUCUCGAAAGAGAUAUAAACAUAAUUUAGGGAUUUCUACGGAUCAAGACACAAGUUAAUAAAUUAUUUAAUACAGAUUCGGAAUAAUAAGUGAAGUCUAGGUGGAUUCUUUCCUGGGUAUUGUCUUUUUCUUAGGCUAUCUUCAAAUAUUUUCCUAAUUCAUUCCCUGUCGCGUUCUUAGUUAAUUUAGAUUAGUAAAUUUAGAUUAGAACAAUCAUCCCAAUUUAUUGGCUAAAUAAUAGAAAAAUAAUAAUUACUAGUACUUUUACUCCUCGUGGGUAUGAUAUUCCCUACUUACCAUAGCUAUACUAUUGCUCGAUAGGUGCACUUGCCUUUGUCGUAAUUAUAGUUAGUUUAGUGACCAUCAAGUUUUUUGGCACCGUUGCUGGGGACUAAAAUAUUAGGAGCACUUGAUUUUUAUUAAUUUAGUCAUUUUUAUUUCUAUUGCAUUUUAUUUUUGUUUUUAGUUUAAAUUUUUUUGUUUUCUAAUUUUUAUUUUAUUUGUUUCUGGUAGGUUCAUUUAGUUUAUGACUAGAAGAAAUCCGUCAAGACCAUUAGUAUUUGAUAGUGAAAUUGAAAGUACAACUCAUAGAAACCAUAGAGAAGCAAGGCAGAGUUGACAAAAUAUAGUGGAAGAGCAAGAGGACGUUAUUAUUGUUACUAAAGAGAUGAUUGAUAAUCAAAAUAAUCAGCUACCUCUUGUGGUUGCUGCGAAUCCUGCAAAUUCAAAUCCUACUCCUUGUACUAUGUACGAUUAUGCCAAGCCCACUCUAACUGGGGCUGAAUCGAGUAUUGUGAGACCCACCAUUGUUGCGAAUAAUUUCAAACUGAAGCCGAACACUAUUCAGAUCAUACAAUAAUUUGUUCAGUUCGAUGGUUUGCAAGAUGAGGAUCCAAAUACUCACUUGGCUAAUUUUCUGGAAGUCUGUGAUACUUUCAAGAUAAAUGGCGUUUCUGAUGAUGCCAAUCGCCUACGUUUGUUUCCCUUCUCGUUGAGGAAUAAAGCAAAACAAUGGUUGAAUUCUUUACCACGAGUUUCCAUCACUACAUAGGAUCAAAUGACUGAGAAAUUUCUAUUGAAGUACUUCCCACCGGCUAAGACAACUAAGUUGAGGAAUGAUAUCUCUUUCUUCGUGCAGAUGGACUUAGAGACCCUAUAUGAUGCAUGGGAGAUGUAUAAGGAUUUAUUGAGAAUGUACCCUCACCAUGGGUUACCUCUAUGGCUAUAGGUUUAAACCUUCUAUAACGGUUUGAAUCCUUCAACUAGGCAGUUAAUCGAUGCAGUAGCCAGUGGUACCCUGAAAAAUAAGACACCUGAAGUGUAAUACCCCCUACUCGUAUUCGCCGCCGAAAUAGGGUAUGAGGCAUUACCAAAUUUUACCAAAUAAAAAUUUCACAAAAUCCUAAAGUUUUUUUUAAAUUCAAUAUAACCCCUUUUACAAGUAUCUAAGCUUCGCUGCAAUUUUAAACCGAGACCAAUCCAACACAACCAAUCAAUUUCAACAUAUUUUCAAGAUAGAUUUAACGUAUUCAUAAGAUAACCUCAUCACAUACCAAAACCAAAAUUUGUUAGCCAUACCAAUGGUUAACCAUACAUUCAUCUCACAUUAACAUUUACAUUACUAGCUUAUACAUGCCAUUUGAUUUCCAAAAUAAAGUUUCUUUAUAUACCGAGAUCUUGAGGUUGAUAGUGUGAUACGUCUCUGACCGAAUCCGACCUCCGAGCUCUUAACACUACAAAAUAGGGGAAAAAGAAACAGGGUAAGCACUUUUUGCUUAGUAAGUUCAUGUAACAAGAAUUAUACUUACCUAAUAUUUUCAAUACAAUGCAAUAAACAUUCAUACACCCAUUCCAUACGUUAUUCCCCUAUCAUACACAAACUCAACAUUCAAAUUAGUCCAAUAAUUUCCAUGUAUCAAUAAUUUAUACCAUGAUUGAUGAGCUCAUCAAUUCCAUAAUUUCCAUUCCCUUGUUAUUUUUCCAUAUUUAUCCCGUUGAACUACUUGGAAUUUUGAUGGAUUUUCAGUGGUACACUUUAGUGUACAAAUCCGGAUCCGUCAAUUCAUAUUCAUGUGUGCACAUUUCCAUUUCAGAUAGCACACUCUCGCGAACUUCAUCCUUACAGCGGGAUUACCAGUCCAGGCUAAAUCCCCUGCAACGACAAUUACUCUAAUGAGCUUGGAUCUGAAUUACCAGUACAGGCUAAAUUCAGACCCUAAUUCGGAUUACCCGUCCGGGCUAAAUCCAUUUUCCACAUAUUCUUCGGGAGGGCUAUAUCAGGAUAGGAUCACCCGUCCGGGGCUAGAUCCUUUUUACCGUCAAUUCCUUUUUAAAUAUCCAUCUAAUUUUCCUUCCAUUCAACCGGGAUUUCUUCCCUUUUUUUAUCAAAUAUAUCAAUGUUUCAUCAAUUUACAUACAGUGAACAUUCAAAUCAUAUUCACAUGAAUAACAUACAUGUCAAGCAUUUAAGAAUAUAAUUCAAGUUACACGAACUUACCUCGAUACUUGUUCGUAAACAAAAAAAUCUACUAAUCUCGAACUUUUUCUUUUCCUCGAUCUAUCUUCUUAUUUGAAUUUUCUAGAUCUAAAUAAAUAAAUUUAAUCAUUAAUCUACUACAUUUCAUGUUCAUAAUAUCUCCUUUUAGGCUUAUUUACAAUUUAUGUCCCUCUUCAUUUAACAAUUGAGCUAUUUAAUCCUUCUAGUAACUUUUACACAUUUUUCAAUUUAGUCCUUUUACUUAAUUGACUACCCAAACAUUAAAUUUUCUAACGAAAUUUUAAUACCAUAUUACUAACAUUUCAUAAAUAUUUAUAAAAAUAUUUUUGACUCGGUUUUACAAGAUCGAGGUCUCGAUACCUUGUUUUUACCCAAUUUCUUCAAUAAUUUCUUUUUCUAACUAACCACUAAAUCGAUAAAAUUUUUCUAUCGAUAUUUUCAUAUGAUUUUCCUAUCAUAUCAAUAUUCAUGCAAAAAUAUUAAAAUAAAUUUCUCUUUAAAUCAGAUUUGUGGUUACGAAACCACUAUUCCGAUAACUUUGAAUUUGGGUCAUUACAUGAAGCGGCUUAUGAGUUUAUAGAAGAGAUGUCACUAAAUAAUUAUCAGUGGUAAGUCAUGAGGAUGAAGCCUAAUAGAGCAGCCAGUGUUUUAAAUCUAGAUGCAGUCACACUGUUAUCAAAUCAGGUAGAACAAUUAAAUAAGAAAAUUGGUGGUUUAUGUGUUUUCUACGCAGGUACAUUCGGUGAUGGAAUGCGAUGCAAAUGAAGGAGGAAUAAAAAAUCUAUAAUAUUUACCCUACGGUCCUAGCACAGAGAACGAAAAAAUCAACUAUAUGAGUAAUAAUUCUAGACCUCAGAAUAAUCCUUACAGUAACACUUAUAAUGUAGGUUGGAGGAACCAUCCCAAUUUCUCUUGGGGUGGUCAAGGAAACCAAGGACCACAACCCCAUCCAGGCUUUCAACCACCUUACCAACAAGAGAAAAA